CUUCAGUAUACAACGCUCGGAAGUCUGUGGAAGUGAAGCCUCAAGCUGUUCACAUUCACAGAUCUCCAGUUUUACCAAAGUUGGAAGGCUCUUUGGUAAAUCCCCUUUCAAUAGUGGACAGUUUAUAAGGUAAAACUCUUCUAGGCAGGGAAAUUCUUCGCCAUCUACUUCAAGUAGUGUCCAUUCUUCCCAUUGUGACAUUUCCCCAAAUUUUAAAGUCUUAAGAGACUGAAAAGGUUUCCGAAAAGUUAAAUCUAUCCUAUAAAAUUCAGGGCCAAUGCUUCUUACUCCUCCAAUCCUUUGAAUUAUGAAAUUUUCAAGAAAUGGCAGCUGCCCAAAUGGUGGCAAUGACGAGCAAUUAUUGUAGUCACUGAUACAUAGAAAUCUUAUUGUGGAAAGUGCAGAAACUUCCGACCACCGCACUGCCCUCUCCUUUGCUAGAUUUUCGUCAUUUCUACUCCAUUCCAACUGUAGUUCAUUGCCUGGAACCUUAGUCAUCCUUGAAGAGAACUCUGAUGCAAUUUCACCAUCAAUUUUUGACAGUGUCUUAUCUUGAGUAGUCUUCUCCGACUCUAGUUCGUCAAGAUAUGGCAUAGCUUUCAAAUUCGCUUCUGAUGCAUCAGAAGCAGAAGAUACAUCCUGAAAUUUUGACUUAGGCAAUGAUCCACGAAGAUCUAGAGGUUCCCUCAGUUUUUUAUUGCUACUCGAGGAGGAAGAAAACUGCUGAUUUCGAUCUUCACUUGAUGAAGGUGCUGUCUGAUUAUCAUUACUUAUCUUCUUCACCUUGUCACAGUUGUCUAACUUCGGUACACAACAUUCUGAAGUCUGUGGAAGUGAAGCCUCGAGCUGUUCACAAUUACAAAUCUCCAGUUUUACCAAAGUUGGAAGGCUCUUUGGUAAAUCCCUUUUCAAUAGUGGACAGUUUAUAACACAAAACUCUUCCAGGCAGGGAAAUUCUUGGCCAUCCACUUCAAGUAGUAUCCAUUCUUCCCAUUGUGACAUUUCCACAAAUUUUAAAGUCUUAAGAGACUGAAAAGGUUUACAACCAGCUACAUCUACCCCAUAGAAUUCAUGGCCAAUGCUCUUUAUUCUUCCAAUCCUCUCAAUAAUGAGAUGUUCAAGCGAUGACAGCCGCCCAAGUGGAGGCAACGACUUGCAGUUAAUACAGUCGCUGAGAUGUAAAGAAAUUAUCUUCGAGAACGAAGAAUCUCCCAACCACUUUGGAAACUCUUUACCACCAUAAAAUCGAAUUGAAAGCUUUUGCAACUCCACAGAAGGCUUUAGCUUCUCUAGCGCCUUUUUCUGAUCUGUUGCUGGAUCUUCAUUGUUACAGCUCCAUUCCAACUCUAGUUCAUCAAGAUAUCGCAUAGCUUUCAAAUUGGCUGCCGAUGCAUCAGAAGGAGAAGAUACAUUCUGCAACCCUGAAACAGACAGCGAUCCAUGGAGAUUUGGAAGUGCCCCCAGUUCUUUAAUGCUUGACCCACCAUGGCCCACAAUAAAAUUAGUCAAACUCUGAAGGCUUGUUAAUCUGCUCAUUUUUUCUGGCAUCUGCUUCAAGCCAGCUCCCUUAAUGCUGAGCUUUCGCAAGUUAACCAGCUCGACUAUGCCUUGGGGUAGCAUGAGAAGAGAAUAGCAGUUUGUCAAUAUCAAUGUUUGUAGAAAGUAGAGAGUACACAAGUAUUCAGGCAAACUUGUUACUGCACUGUGAGAGACAUCUAGGUAAUGUAGAUAUUUCAAUUUUCCUAUUGAAGGGGGCAAUUCAGCAUGUUGAAAAUGAGGUAAGGAUAGGACUCGUAAUCUUUGUGGUCCUGGAAAAAUGGCCUCCAGUGCUUUGGGACUUAAUUGACAAGAUCGACAAUCAAUCAAAUAGAAGGUCCUUAAGCUCUUCAUUUCAAGAAUGACACGUAAUUGAUAUUGGCUUAGCAAUGAUAGAUGGCGAAUCCUCUUAGGUAUUGCAGAUCGGAUUAUUGUACAAGAUUCCCAUCUGAGACAAACUCCUCGAGAUACAGCCUUAGCUAAAUCAUGCAUAUAAUGAUGAAUUUUAAAAUGUGAGUUGUCGACUGGUAUAAAGAAUGACCUCUUCAGUAAACCGUCAACGCAUUCAGCACCUACCAUUUCCAUUGAUGGGCCACUAGACUUUUGUAGAAAGCCUUCCGCCAUCCACAAGAGAACCAGUUCUUCCUUGUCAAACUCAUGAUCUCUGGGAAACAACGAGCAAUAAGCAAAGCAGCGCUUUAGCAGUGCAGGAAGGUGAUAAUAGCUCAACAGGAGAAUUGAUGAGAUUGAAUCAUGGUUAUUAGCUUUUUGCAGGUCCUCCAGGACAUGGCACCACUCUUCACGGGUCUUUUUGAAACGCAAGAGCCCUCCAAUUACAUUUACACACAAAGGUAUUCCGCGGCAGCUCUCCAUAAUUUUCCUGCCAAUAUCCUCUAGCGUUAUAACCUCACUUCUAUCCCUCCCCGCAUAUGCGGACUUUGCCAACAGGGACCAGCAAAAAUCCUCUGUCAAUGGAUUUAGAUGAUAAAGAGUGGAACAGCCCAUAACAAAUGCCACUUCUUCCUUGGGUGUAGUAACAAUGAUCUUGCUUCCCCUUGCACCAGAAUUGAGAGAAGUUCGUAGGGCGUACCAUACAUUAUUAUUCAAAUACUGAACAUCGUCUAACACAAGUAGAAAUCUUUUCCCAUCUAAGCUUGCACUUAAUUUAUCUAGGAGCUCAAGUGACAUGAGAUCCUCAAUACUGCACAAAGUGGUGGCCUCAAGAAUUGUCCUGGUGAUUUUAUAAAGGUCAAAGGCCAUGGGAACAGCUACCCAUGCUUUUAGUUUGAAAUGCGCACUCACUUUUUCAUCGUUGUAUACGAGCUGCGCAAGGGUGGUCUUACCCAACCCACCCUCGUCAACUAAGGCAAUCCCAUCAAGAUUUUCAGCCCCUUGAAGUAAAAAGCGGAGGAUGUUAAUCCUGUCUUCUUCUCUGCCAUAGAUUGCGGCUUCAUCUAGCAAAGAAAUAGCAGGCAAGCUGUCCGAUAAUUGCAAUUCAUCAUUCGCUUCUCGUUUCCUGAUGCAGUAUUCAUUCAUUGCUUUAGCAAUGGCAUCAGUAGUUUCCACAAGGUUUCUGAUAUUCCAUCUUGGCCUCCUAUCUUGUGAUAAAACUAAAUUCUUGAUAGAAGCACGGACGUCCCUUAGUUCCAGGGAUUCGAGGUUCCGAGCUUUAGCUUCCACUUUGAGUCUUGCGACUUCAAAUAAAAUAUCAUCCACAAAAUCCUCUGCGUUGAAGACAGUAUAUAGCAGUUGGUGAAGCCAAUCAUACAUGCCGUGACUGUUGCGCCGUGGCCCCACUGCGUCGUGAAUCACAUCGCUAAUACUCGCCAGUGACGAUUUCAAGCGUUUCAAAAGUGAAGCAAAUGUUGUAUCUUCUAUGAUGGCAGCUAAUGGUAGAACAGAGUGGAUCUUGUCUAACAGCAACGCAAUGGAACCCGGCAAACCAUCGAAACGCAGAGCAACCAUUUCAAACUCAAGGCAACGGCAAGAAAGAGGUUGCUUUUGGUUGAUCUAAUGGGAUUUCGGAGGAACACAAACGGUAACAAAAGGACUUGGGACUUUUCGCUUGCUUAAACAAUUGAGCCAAGGAGGAAUCUCGAUUAGGUGUAAUGGAAAUUACGAGUUAGUGUAUGGCAGAAAAAAUAAUUGAUUUUGGAUGUAAUUACUUAUUGUAUUCUCCUUUAAGUGUUAUACUAAUAUGGUAAUUUUUUUUAGGAAAUAUAAUUUUAUUCUCUAGUCAUACAAGUGAAGCAAACUCCCCACAUAUCACUCCACAGUAUCGAUGUAACUUCAUAUGGAGAACUAUCAUACAAUUGGAAAUCAACCUUUAACCCAAACCUUUUGUUAGCCAUGAGGUUAGAUAGUUGAUUACCUUCCCAAUAAAUGUGAUUUACUGAGACUUCCUAUUGUCAAUGUAACAUUUCUCUAAUUGCUCGUAUUAGAUCCAAAUUAGCACAAGGAUGAUUAAAGAAGAAGUAACAGCUUGCACUACCGUUUAUUAUCAACUUGUAAUUUAACUAUACGAAAAUCUAGCUCUCGAGCAUUUGAUUCAUUGAUUGAUACAUGAUUCUUUUAUCUAAAAAGUAAGGUUUGAAUCCCCUCUCUUUUAAUUUUAAAAAAAAACCUAUAGGAAAACCUUUCUCCCAAGCUAAUUAGAGCCAAUGGUUGAUGCCCCAUAAUUUUGCAUGAUAAAUAGUGCACACAGCCAACUUGCAAGCAAGCCCCCAAGCCAUAUGGCAUUUGGUCCUCUAAGAACUCCACCAGCAGCAACUUUAUGAAUCGAACCACGGAAAGCUCCAUUUGAAUUAAUUGCAAUCCAACCCAAUGGUGGCGUUAACCAACCCAAUAAAACCUCCUCCUUUUUAUUAAGGUUUCCUCCAAGUACUGACGGUAUAGCCAUGGCAUCCUUUAUUGCACCAGCCAUGUUUUUCACUAUAUUCAAAAUGACUCCUAGCUAGUAUUAAGCGACCUACAAAAAUUGUAAGAUUUCUCCACUUCCACAAUUGCCAACAAGCAACACCAAACAUAGUUCUUCGGGGUACUCCAUGAUUAGACAUCAUAGAUAAAAUAACUGUUGUGAAAAUUGCAGAAUAAUCUUUAAAGAGUUGCCCAAGAUCGUACCCAAUCAAUAAAAUAAAGAAAGAAAGAAAUCAAGCACACUUACAAAAACACAAGAAUUUAUGUGGUUUAGUCUUUUGAUAACUUACGUCCGCUAGCACAGCAACAGAGAACCUUAUCCCAUGUACACUCAAAUCACUCUCUUUAAAUUUAAGUGUUCACUAUUUUGUCACCUCAUAGAGUCUUUUUAUAGAGCCAAAUACAAUAAUCUUAUCCUAAUACAAUUAGGAUAUGUUAUCCUAAUAUAGCUAGAUUUAAAGACUUGCUUAACAAAGGUAUACAAGUUUAACUAGAAUUAAACUAUUCUAGUCAAAACACAAUUCAAGACUAUCAUAACAAGUCUCCACCUUAGGCUUGAAUUCACUAAGCUCCACUUUACGAACCAAUCUUUACCAACACCGCCAAUGCCCCAAAAAAGCCUCAAGCACUACGAACACCAAUCAAGUCUAAGCAAUGCUUGAACUUUAUCUUAGAAACUAACUUAGUCACCAUAUCUGUUGGAUUUUCAACUGUAGCUAUUUUCUUCACUAUAAUCUCACGUCUAGAAACAAUUUCUCAAACAAAGUUACAUUUGACUUGGAUGUGUUUGGUUUUCUCAUGAAACAUCUGAUUUUUAGUCAAGUGUAUGACACUUUGACUAUCAUAAAACACAAUUACAUAUGCUUGUCCAAAACCAAGAUCACUAACUAAUCCUUGAAGCCAUAAAGCCUCUUUCACUACCUCGAUCACAGCCAUAUAUUCAACUUUAGUUGUAUACAAAGCAAUAGUUGAUAGAAAAACUGUUUUCUAACUGAUUACAGACCCUAAGAGAGUAAACACAUACCUUGUUUGAAAUCUUCUACUAUCAAAAUCACCAACAAAAUCUGAAUUGGAGAAGCCAACCACAUUGCAACUAGUGUUUGCACUUCUUUCACACAUUGAGUUAACAUCAAUAGUACCUUUCAAUGGUUUUACAAGCUCCCAUGUUUAAUCCUAGUGUAGAGACUCAAUCUUUUUAGAAGACUUUGCACAUGUAAUUGCCUCACAAUAAAAGUAAGACUUAUCAAUCUCUACUUUUACAAAUAAAACAUAAAAAUCAAAAUCAUCAUUGACACAAGUAAUGCUUCGUUGUUGUAUAUGAGAUAACAAUUCUUGUACCUAUUGCGAUUCAUUUUGGAUUUUACUACUAUCCCACACUAUCACAAGAGCAUUGAUUUCAAGCCCCACUUUCUUGCCAACUUCUUGGUCCAAUGUUAUUGCAAUUAUAAACUUUAACCCAUGAAGUAAUGUAAACAUGUCAAAGGUAACAUUUUAACUCACCAUAAACUUGGGGGAUUGACAAUCAGUACACCACAAUUAAUAACCCUUCACCCUAUAUGCAUAGUUUAGGAAUAUGCACUCUGUCGCCUUUGGCUUAAGUUUACCAUCACUCAUAUGAGUAUAAUCAGGACAACCAAAUACUCUUAAUAUAGAGUAAUCAGAGGGCUUACCAAACCAAACUUUCUCGGGAGUCUUAAAUCAAUUGUAGUUGAUAGAGAUUGAUUUGUCAAGUAACAAGCCUUAUUGAUAACUUCUAUUCAGAAAACUUCGGGUAGACCACAUUAGAAAGCAUGCAUCUUGCUUUCUCCAAAAGUGUUCUCUUCAUCUGCUCUGCAAUACUGAUGUCUAAGAAUUCUCUUUUUCUUUCAAAACAGACCAAACUCAUUUAUAAAAUUCCAAACCAUUGUUUGUUUGGACGCUUUUAAUCCUUUUUCCAGUCUACUUCUCAAACAAUGCUUUUCAAUGUAAAAAGGUGGUUAACACUUCACUCAUAACCUUCAGAAAUACAUUCAUACUUUUCUUGAAAAAACAUCAAAAAAGGUCCACAUGUAUAAUGAUCCUCCUUUGAUGCCACCGAAGAGGGACCCCACAAAUCUGAAUGGACAUAGUUUACUUUACUCUUGGUUUGAUGAGUUGUAAUGCUAAAUUUCACUCUAUGUUGUUUGACAUAGAUGUAAUGCUCACAAGAAUCUAACUUCUCAAUUUUUUGACUACACCAUAAACCACACUUACUCAGUUUUGUCAUCCUUCUCUCGUUUAUAUGACCCAAUCUCAUAUGCCAUAAAUAUAAGACAUCAUAAUUAGGAUCAUUGAAUGAGACUACGGAAAUAGUUCCAAUGAUUGUGUUUCUCACUAGACGAUAAGGGUCACUAGAUAACUUGUCCUCUAUGAUAGUUAAGGCUUCUUUAGAUACCUUAGAGACAUUAUCUUGGCAACCCCAUUUGUAGCCUUUCUUAUCUAACAAACUCAAGUAUAUGAAAUUCUUUUUCAUGUCAAGGAUAUGUCUCACCUCAAGUGUCUUUACUAUAUCAUCAAACAUCUUGAUCCAAAUUGCGUCAAUCCUAAUAAUUGAGAGAGAAAAAUCAUAUCCUAAUUGUAUAGUUGCUAUAUCAACAGAUUGAUAAAUAGUAAACCAAUCAUGCUAGGGACAUAAGUGGAAGCAACAAGCAAAAUUUAACAUCCAUGUAUCGAUCAGGUUACCGUUGGUAAUUGUAAGAACACUAUAAGCUUCCUCAAAAGUAUCAAAGUUAUCUUCAACCAUGUUUGUAGUAUUCUCAAACUUGUUGAUAUUUUCAUCAUCCUUGAAUUUGGUACAGUCUUGUUGAAGAGCCAUUUUUUAUCACAAUUUCAACAAGUCUUCCCAUUUGCUUUAGGUUUACCUUUUCUGUUUAUGCCAUUCUUUCUAUGUUUUCCUUUAUUCACAAUUAGGCUUUUUAUUUGAUUUUCAUUCCGAAUACCGUCAACUUUCUUCUUUAAUUUCUUGGAAUUUAAAGAUGUCCUUACAUCCUUCAAAGUGAGUGUUUCUCGAUUAUAUAACAUAGUAUCCAUGAAGUUUUCAUACGAUGAAGGCAAAAAAUAUAUAAAAAAUUAAAGCUAGGUCUUCAUCCCCAAUUUUAACAUCGAUAUUCUUUAAAUAAAAAAUAACUCCAUUAAAUUCAUCAAUGUGGGUAUUAACGGAUGUACCUUCAUACAUCUUGAGAGUUAACAAUCGUUGCUUCAUAUAAAGCUGAUUCAUCAGGGAUUUGGUUAUACAAAUACUCUCGAGUUUAAGUCAUACUGCAAUAAUAGAUUCUUCAUUUAUGACUUCUCUUUGCACCUCAUCAAACAAAACUAGGAGAAUAGCACUUGGUGCCUUUUUCAUAAAGUCAUCUUUCUCAUCAUCAGAUAAAUUUGAGGGAAGAUGGUCUUUUCCUUCCAACACCUUCAACAGUUCUUGUUGUACUAGCAAUGCGUGUAUCUUAACGCGCCACAAGCUGAAAUCAUUUCUUCCAUUAAACUUUUCAAUUUCAUACUUAGUCGACGAAGUUGCUAUAGCAAGAUUCAGAUUAACUCAAGACCUUGAAGUUCCAAUACCAAUUUAUUGUGAAAAUUACGGAAUAAUCUCUAAAGGGUUGCUCAAAAUCUUACUCAAUCAAUAGAAUAAAGAAAGAAGAAAUCAAGCACACCCACAAGAAUAUAAGAAUUUACGUGGUUUGGUCUUUUGAUGACCUACAUCCACAAGCACAUCAAUAGAGAACGAUUGACUAAGAGAUAAAUUAAGAGAUUACAAAAACAGUUUUAAACUCACAACCUUUAUCCUACGUACACCUAAAUCACUCUCUCUAAAUCUAAGUGUUCACUAUUCUUUAACCACGAAGGGUUUUUUUAUAAGGCCAAGUACAAUAAUCUUAUCCUAAUAUAAUUAGGAUAUGUUAUCCUAGUAUAAGUAGAUCUAAAGAUUUGCUUAACUAGGUAUAAAAGUUUAAUUAGAAUUAAGCUAUCCUAAUCAAAACACAAUUCAAGACAAUCAUAAAAAUAAUCCAUUCAUAAACAAUAAAAAAUAAAAUAGAAAAACUACAUAAUAUAAUCAUUCAAAAUUUUAAAUUCAAUGUAAUUGCAUAUUCAAAAAUAGGACAGUUAGUAAUAUUUUAAAAUAUUAGUUAAUGUUUUGUUAUUUAAAAAAAAUUAUAUUAGUAAUAUUUUAAUAAUUUUAAAAUUAUUUUAAAAUCAAAAUUAAAUAAAAAUAUAUUAUAUAUUUGUAAAUUACUAAUUUUGAACUGAUAGUUUCAAAACCAUCAUUAAUAUUAUCUUUCUCUCAAGUUUUUAAUUUUUUUUAACUAAUUAAGCAUAUUCUAUAGUCUAUUCAUUUUGAAAAAAUCACGCAACAUGCAAAUAUAUAACUAAUUGUAAUUAAAUCAUAACCAAUUCUUUUAUGCGUACACACUAGUAUUUAGUAAAAGGACUAUAUAGGAGCAUAAACUUAAUUAAAUCAGUGCUAUACUUUUCACCAUUACUAUGUCAUUUCACCAUAGAAAAACAAAUAAAUAGUUUUAAGACGAGGCAAAAAAAUUGGUGCAAUUUUAAAUUUGAUCUCAGUAUGUAGACAUCUCAAUUUGUCUGAGUGUAGUAAAUUUUAGAAGAUAAAUAAAAAAUAUGAAAAUUAAGAAAAUAUAAAAAAGAGGGAGAGAUAAAUAUGAAAGGAUAAGAUAUGUUUGCACCAAUCUUACUUCUAGAUUAAGCCUAAAAAAGAUUAAGUUAGAUUGAAUCGAAACUCAAAAACUAAUUCAAAUAGAAAUACAACAAAUUGGCUAUAAAUAUAGCCAAGCCAUGGAUCAAAAUAAGGAGAGAAAAAAAGAAAAGAAAAAGAGAGAUCGAAAAAAGAAAAAUAGUGUUUGUGUUUCUUGAGUUUUUUUGGUUUUUGGGUUUCGAUUUUUUUAGAUCUAGGAAGAUCCAUUUAAUUUCUAAAGAAACUAUUCCGAUUAAAGGGACAAGAGCAUUGAGAGGAUUUUUUUUUGAGAAAGUUUGGUAAAAUUCAGUCAUUGGUGAAUGGUAGCCAACAAUGGUGGACGAUGAUUGACACAGUGGCUAGUGACUGGAAUUUGAAAAAAGAAGAGGUUUUUUUUCUUUUAGAGGGGAAAGCUCUCACUUAGAGAGAGAAAAAGAAGUAGGAAAUAAAGAGAAAGAGGGAAAAUGGAGCUUUUAUACCGCAAGCCAAACGGCAUAGUUUUGCUUCAACUAGAAGGAGGAGGUUUUGUGGGCUGAAUUUCACUAGUUUGUCCCACUCUUGUUAUUUUGGCCCACUUCAAUUUAUUGUUGUUGCAACAAACUUCAUAACCUUUAAAAAAAAUCAUAAGUGGUUUCUCAAGAAUUUUUAGGUUAGAGAAUUUUCUAAAUUUUACCAUAAGAUUUUGAAAAUUUUGAAAAAGUUUCAAUACAAAGGAUUUACAUAAGUGUUUAAAUAAAAUAAAAAGAUAAAAUUAUAUAAUUAAAUAAAUAAUUUCUCCAAUGAUGAAAUCUCAAGAAAAUAAAAAAUGAUUUCUUGAAAAUUUCUAGAUGAGAAAAUUUUCCAAAUUUUACCAUAAGUGUUUGGGGAUUUUCAACAUAAAAAAUUUUUAUUUAUUUACGUAAAAAGAAAACUAAUAAAAGAAAGUAGCAAGGAAAAUAGGGAAAGGAAUUAAAUAUUGUACUAGAUUAAGUAAGGCUUAAAAACAUGUAAUUAAUAGGGUACUAAUUAAAUGGGUGUUGUGAGGGUGCUAAUAUUUUCCUCAUACGUAAACAAACUUCCUUUUGAACCCAAAUUUGUUUCGUAGACCAAACCUGUUCUUCAUAAUGAACCUAAGUCAAGUCUAAGACCUCAUUAGAAAUAUAAAUUCACUUAAGUAAUCAAUCACACAUAACAAAAAAGAUUUAUGCUAGAACUCAUCACACUAUGACACUGUAUUUUAUCAAAAUGUUGAAUUUAAUCCAUAUACUUUAAUUCAUAUAAAUCAAAUUCUUAUAUUUUCAAAAUUUGUUAAUGUCAGUCAAAUCAUUAACACAAUCAAAUUUUUUCAUUUAAAGUUCUGACGUGACGCAUACGUGAUUAAUUAUUAGUGUUGACGUGAAAUUUUGGAAGAUUUUAAUGGCCAAAUUUUGAAUGAUCAAAUUGUUUAAUUUAGCCCCUAUAAUCUAUCAAAAUGUUAAAUUUAAUCGCUCUAUUAUAAUUUUUAUAAAUCAAGUCCAACUUUUAAAAUUUGUUAACCAAUCAAUCAAGCUUUUUCCGUUAAAGUUGUUGAUGUGGAUAACCCCUAACAUGACAUGACAUUGAUGAAUGCUUACGUAGAAUUUCUACACACAAAUAGGACCACAUAUAGUAAUAACCAAAUAAAAAUCCAAAAAAGUUAAUAACAGUUUUUAUACUGCUCGAAUUUAUUUUACAAUACUCAGCAAAUUAAAACUUGUGUUUGGUGAGACUUUGCCACUGCAAAUAACCAAUGUAAACCUGAUAAAUCAAGUCAAACAUUACAAAGAUUCAUCAAUGUAGGACAGCUUGGUAUCACAAUGCGUAAAGUCAUACAAGCGAACAAACUGUAACUCAAGUUCGUACAGUCAACUUCAACCGAUUCAAAACGAGUUUGUUCCGCCAACACAGUUGUUCUCAAUGGACAAUCAGACAUUUAGGUAUGCUUCUAUUUUUUGAGAUGAACAAACAAUACUAGACAAUGGGUCAAAGAAAUCAUUUAAAAUGACUGGUUGGAGAAUCUCACAGCUUGCUAUAUUGCAAUUGCUAAAGAGGAGACUACUGCUUUGUGGCACCUUGACAUACAUUUAAUCUGUCACAAUCAUCGAUUUGCAUUGCCGAAGUGGGAAGCUGGACGGGAAGAUUCCCCGUUAGUUUCCUACACCCAAUCAUUAGGAGUUUGCCAAGGGACGGGAAUCCUCGUUCAUUUGUGAAAGGUAACCAUUGCUCCCAAUUUUCCAUAUUCUCGAACCAUAACAUUUCCAGGGAUUUAAAGGCCACGACACCACUACCGUAGAAUUCGAAACCAACGAUUUUUACUCCAGCCAGGUGGUGUAUGGUGAGUUCUUUGAGAGAGGGUAGUUGCCCAAGUGGUGGCAGUGAGUUGCAUUUUUGGCAAUUAUCAAGAGUUAGGCUCUUCAUUUUGGAGAAUGAAGCAUUCCCUAACCAUUUUGGUAAACUCAUACCAAAGUACUUUCGAAUCUCGAGCCUCUCCAAAUUCUCGCCAGGCAUUAGCUUGUCAAGUACAUUAGCUACAUGCUUCGCACUACGAUUCUGAGGAUCAUCCCCUCCACUCUGUCCAUUACGGUUCUGAGGAUUAUCCAUUGGAUUCUGUGUAGUACCAUUAUGAGGACUGAGUGCUGCAAUCUCUGCAUCACGGCAAUGAGGAUCAUCUGCUGCACUCUGUGCAUUACCAUUAGGAGGAUCAUCCACCGCAUUCUGUGCAUUAUCAUUGUCAUGAGGAUCCUUGGCUACAUUCUCUAUACUUCCGUUAUGAGGAUUAUAUGCUGCAAUUUGUGCAUUGCCAUCACGCGGAUCACCAUCCCAUUCCAAAAUUAACUCACGAAGGUAUUUCUUAUCCUUUAGAUUGGCCUUUUCUGCAUCUGCUGUUUGAGAGACAUUCUGUAGCUGUAAAAUGGAAAGAGCGCCAUGAAGACGAAGAUCCUUUAGCGCACUAACAGUUGACCCACUAUUGUCGCCCACAACAAAAUUAGUCAACAGCAGAAGACGUUUCAAAUUACCCAACUUUGGAGGCAUUUGCAGGAUAGGCGUCCCCUUGAUAUCAAGAUGCUUCAAUUUGGUAAGAUUCUCCAUGUAUGUUGGCAAACAAGUGAGGUGAGGAUGUUGGGAAAUUGCGGAAUUGUCUCUAAAGAAUUGCCCAAGAUCUAAUCCAAUCAAUAGAAUAAAGAAAGGAAGAAAUCAAGCACACCCACAAGAAUACAAGAAUUUACGUGGUUCGGUCUUUUGAUGACCUACGUCCACGGGCACAACAACAGAGAAAAAUUCACUAAAAGAAAAAUCAGGAGAUUACAAGAACAGUCUCAAACUCAUAACCCUUAUCCCACGUACACCUAAAUCACUCUCUCUAAAUCUAGGUGAUAAUUAUUCUUUAACCCAUAGGGUCCUUUUAUAGUAUCAAAUACAAUAACCUUAUCCUAAUUUAAUUAGGAAUCUUAUCCUAAUAGAAUUAGAAAUUGUUAUUCUAAUCUAACUAGAUUUAAAGACUAUUUAUAAGGUAUACUAAUUUAAUUAGAAUUAAACAAUCCUAAUUAAAUCACAAUUCAAGACUAUCCUAACAAAUCUCCACCUUAGGCUUGAACUCACCAAGCUCCACCUUACGAACCAAUCUCUGUCGACACCGCCACUACCCCAAUAGGCCUCAAGCACUACGAACACCGAUCAAGUCCAAGCAAUGCUCGAACUUUAUCCCAGAAAAUGACUUAGUUAGCAUAUCUGCCGGAUUUUCAUCUGUAGCUAUUUUCUUUUCUACAAUCUCACCUUUAGAAAUAAUCUUUCGAACGAAGUUACACUUGACUUGGGUGUGUUUGGUUCUCUCAUGAAACAUCUGAUUUUUAGUCAAAUGUAUAGCACUUUGACUAUCACAAAACAUAACUGUUUGUGUUUGUUCAAAACCAAGAUCACUAACCAAGCCUUUAAGCCACAAAGCCCCCUUCACUGCCUCGGUCACAGCCAUAUAUUCAGCUUCAGUUGUAGACAAAGCAAAGGUUGAUUGAAGAACUGCUUUCCAACUGAUUGCAGAUCCUGAGAAAGUGAACACAUAUCCCGUUUGAGAUCUUCUACUAUCUAGGUCACCAGCAAAAUCUGAUUUGGAGAAGCCAACCACAUUACGACUAAUGUUUGCACCUCCUUCACACACUAAGCCAACUUCAAUAGUAACUUUAGGUGUUUUCACAAGCUCCCAUGUUCGAUCCCAGUGUAGAGACUCAAUCUUCUUAGAAGACUCGACAUAUAUAAUUUUCUCAUGAUAAAAGUAAGGCUCAUCAACCUCUACUUCCACAAAUAAAACAUAAGAAUCAAAAUCCCCAUCAAUACAAGUAAUGCUUCGUUGAGAUACCAAUUCUUGUACCUCUUGCAAUUCUUUCUGGAUUUCACUAUCAUCUCGCACUGUCACAAGAGCAUUGAUUUCAAGCUCCACCUGUUUGCCAACUUCUUGGUCUGAUGUGUUUGCAAUUCUAGACUUUAUCCCACAAAGUAAUGCAGACUUGUAAAAGGUAACAUCCCGACUCACCAUAAACUUGGGAAACUUACAAUCAGUACACCACAACCAAUAACCCUUCACCCCAUAUGCAUAGCCUAGGAAUAUGCACUCUGUCGCCCUCAACUCAAGUUUACCAUCACUCAUAUGAACAUGAACAGGACAACCAAAUAUUUUCAAUAUAAAAUAAUCAGCGGGCUUACCAGACCAAACUUCCUUGGGAGUCUUAAAUUCAAUUGCAGUUGAUGGAGACCGAUUUACCAAGUAACAAGCCUUGUUGAUAGCUUCUGUCCAAAAUACUUUGGUUAGGCCAACAUUUGAGAACACGUAUUUUGCUCUCUCCAAAAGUGUUUUCUUCAUCAAUUCUACAAUAUCGUUUUGAUAUGGUGUUUUGUCGACAGUGCGAUGUCUAACGAUUUUCUCAUUCUUGUAGAAUAGACCAAACUCACAUUUGCAAAAUUUCAAACCUUUGUUUGUUCGAAAGCUCUCGAUCCUUUUCUUAGUCUGCUUCUCGAUCAAUACCUUCCAAUGCAAAAAGGUGGUUAACACUUCACUCAUAGCCUUUAGAAGAUACGUCCACACCUUUCUUGAAAAAUCAUCAAUAAAGAUCCACAUGUAUAAUGAUCCACCUUUUGAUACCACCGGAGAAGGAUCCCACAAAUCUAAAUAGAUGUAGUUUACUGUACCCCUGGUUUGAUGAGUUUUAGUGCUAAAUUUCACUCUAUGUUGCUCACAGAAAUCUAGCUUUCCACUCUUUUGACCACACAGCAAACUAUGCUUACUUAGUUUUCUAAUCCCUCUCUCGCUCAUAUGACCAAAUCUCAUAUUCCAUAAACGUGUUACAUCAUCUUCAGGAUCAUUAGAUGAGACCACAGAAACAGUUUCAAUGACCGUGUUUCCCACUAGACAAUAAAGGUCACCGGAUAACUUGCCCUUCAUGAUAGUUAAGGCUCCUUUAGAUACAUUCAAGACACCAUCUUGGCCACUAUAUUUGUAGCCCUUCUUAUCUAACAAACUCAAGGAUAUUAAAUUCUUUUUCAUGUCAGGGACAUGUUUUACCUCAAGUGUUCUUACCAUACCAUCAAACAUCUUGAUUCUAAUUGUGCCAAUUCCAACAACUGAGAGAGAGAAAUCAUCUCCUAAUUGUACAGUGCCCAUAUUAACAGAUUGAUAAGUUGUAAACCAAUCACGCCUAGGACAUAUAUGAAAGCAACAAGCCGAAUCCAAGAUCCAUGUAUCCAUCAGGUUACAAUUAGUAAUUGCAAGAACAUUAUCAGUUUCCUCAAAAGUAUCAAAGUCAUCUCCAACCACGUUUGCAGUAUUCUCAGACUUAUUAAACUUUUCAUCAUCCUUGAAUUUGAUACAGUCUUGACGAAAAUGCCCUUUCUGACCACAAUUCCAGCAAGUUUUCCCUUUUGCUCUAGAUUUACCUUUUCUGUCUAAGCCUUUCUCUUUACCUCUACCUCUAUUUACAACCAAACCUUCUGCUUGAUUUUCAUUCCGAAUACCACCAACUUUCUUCUUUAAUUCCUUGGAAUUUAAAGAUGCCCUUACAUCCUCGAAAGUGAGAGUGUCUCGGCCGUAAAGCAUAGUAUCCACGAAAUUUUCAUACGAUGGAGGCAAAGAACAUAAAAGAAUUAGGGCUAGGUCCUCAUCCUCAAUUUUAACAUCGAUAUUCUUUAAAUCAAGAAUAACUCUAUUAAAUUCAUCAAUGUGGGUAUUAACGGACGUACCUUCACUCAUCUUGAGAGUAUACAAUCGUUGCUUCAUAUAAAGCCGAUUCGUCAGGGACUUGGUCAUAUAAAUACUUUCGAGUUUAAACCACACUGCAGCAGCAGAUUCUUCAUCCGUGACUUCUCUUAGCACCUCAUCAGACAAAGCAAGGAGAAUAGCACUAUGUGCUUUUUCCAUAAGGUCAUCUUUCUCACCAUCAGAUAAAUUCGAGGGAAGAUGCUCUUUUCCCUUCAGUGCCUUCAACAGUCCUUGUUGCACUAGCAAUGCGCGCAUCUUAACACGCCACAGGCUGAAAUCGUUUCUUCCAUUAAACUUUUCAAUCUCAUACUUGGUCGACGAAGUUGCCAUAGCGAGAUUCAGAUUGAUCCAAGACCUUGAAGCUCUGAUACCAGUUUGUUGGGAAAUUGCGGAAUUGUCUCUAAAGAAUUGCCCAAGAUCUAACCCAAUCAAUAGAAUAAAGAAAGAAAGAAAUCAAGCACACCCACAAGAACACAAGAAUUUACGUGGUUCGGUCUUUUGAUGACCUACGUCCACGGGCAAAACAACAGAGAAAAAUUCACUAAAAGAAAAAUCAGGAGAUUACAAGAACAGUCUCAAACUCAUACCCCUUAUCCCACGUACACCUAAAUCACUCUCUCUAAAUAUAGGUGAUAAUUAUUCUUUAACCCCAUAGGAUCAUUCUAUAGUGCCAAAUACAAAAAUCUUAUCCUAAUAUAAUUAGAAAAUGUUGUUAUAGUCUAACUAGAUUUAAAAACUAUCUCAAAAAAGGUAUAUUAGUUUAAUUAGAAUUAAACAAUCAUAAUCAAACUACAAUUCAAGACUAUCCUAACAGAGGACAACGUGACAAAUUACAGCGUCUGCAAGUUAUAUAAAGAACAUACUCCUUCAGGCAAAAAAUGAAUUUUAGUGCCAGAAAGGUCCAAGUAGCCGAGUUCUUUUAAGUUGCCAAUUGAAUCAAGCAACUCCAAGAUAGGUGUUCCACUGAUGUCAAGAUGCUCUAAUUUGGUAAGAUUCCACAGGUUUGCUGGCAACAGAGUGAGACGAUGACAACCUGACAACUUCAGUGUCUCCAAGUUAUGCAAACAGCCUACUCUUUCAGGCAAACAUCGAAGAGCAGCGCCAGAAAGGUCCAAGUAGCGUAGCUGUUUUACGUUGCAAACUGAAUCAGGGAACUUAGUGAUAUUGUAAGAUGACAAUGACAAUACCCGUAGGCAACUGGGCGCUGGAAACAAUUUGUUGAAGACUCCAGAAUCGAAAGGAGUCUUCCCAUCACCUGGUGAUCUGAGCGGAAGGAAGGUCCGCAAAAACUUAUUUUUUCCAUAGAAGGCCUCAAAUUUAUAAGGCUUGUCACUUGGCUUCAAUAUGCAUGACAAAUGGCGAACCCUUGCAGGGUUUUGGGGAGGGCUACCAUUCUCAAACCUGAAGCAAAAUUCUCCUGCUGUAUAUUGAGCUAGAUCGUUGACAAGGUCAUGCAUUAUGAAACGUGAUUCAUCAUGACUUUGUUGAAAAAUUGACCUAGAUAACAGUUCAUGAAAGUACUGCUCGCCUACUUCCUCCGUUCUUCUUCUACUGUUUGGCUGCUGCACUAGGCCUUCAGCUAUCCACAUUCGAACCAAAUCCCUUCUCUCAAAUUUGUGGCCCUUAGGAAAUAGGGAACAAUAUGCAAAGCAGCGCUUUAGAUGAGAAGGAAGAUAGUGAUAACUCAAUCUUAAGGCAGGUAAAAUGUCACUCUUGUGAGCAGGUAGAUCCCAUAUUCUACUAUUCAGUACAUUGUCCCACUCCUGAGCUUCUACUUGUGAAUGCAGCAGACUCCCGAGUGUUUUAAUAGCCAAAGGCAAGCCUCUGCAUUUUUCCACAAUUUUCUCACCAAUGCCUUUCAGGGUAGAAUCUUCAUUCGGGUUUUUAUUUCCAAAUGCAUGCUUUGAAAAUAAUGCCCAGCAAUCUCCUUUAGAUAACCUCUUCAAAUCAUGAACAAGCGCAUUACGCAUCGUGGAUGAAACAGUUUGGCUACGUGUAGUUACAAUGAUCUUACUUCCAGGGACACCAACUUGUAAGGGUCUAAGCAGUAGAUCCCAUGCUCUAUAACUCUCAUUCCAAACAUUGUCCAAGACAAGUAGAAAUUUUCUGCCCAUCAAUGUCCUCUCCAAUGUAACUUGAAGCACGUUUAAGUCAUUAAUAUCAGAACUCGACAAUGUGGCAGACUCAUAAAUUGUUUUCGUGACCUUGAAAACAUCAAAUUCUUCCGAGACAUACACCCAUGCUCUCAAGUUAAAAUAGUUCUUCACCCUGUCAUCAUUGUACAAAAACUGAGCAAGGGUGGUCUUUCCGAUCCCACCCAUUCCUACAAUUGUAAUCACAGGUAUCUUCUGCCCAUUCAAUCCAUCAGACAACAAAAUAUCAAGAAUAUGCUUUUUAUCAUUGUUUCUGAGGCAUACUUCAGAUUCAUCGACCAGGGAAGUUGUGGGUAAUCUUGGGAUUGAUUUCCCUCCUUGGUCUUCUUUCAAAUUAAGGAUGUCUUUUUCCUCAGCAAUUAGUUGCAGUUUUAGAACAAUUUUGUCAAGGCGAGUAUUAAAGUCUUUUACCUGCUCCUCCUGAACCUGAUCUUCAAUUGCCAUCGCAUCCAGUAGAUCCUCAGCAUCGUAGGCAGCGUCUUUAAGCUUGUCCACCCACUUUUUCACAGAAGGGUUCAGAAUUUGCUUCUCCUCGGCAUCACCAAAAACUUUCUCCACCGUUAGCAGUAAUAUCUCCAUUUUCUGCAAGAGAUCGUCUCUCAACUUCGUACCCCGGAAGAGGCUGAUCAUCGGCUUGAGGGCCUGCACAGUAGCCAAUCUGUCAAACAGUACAUUCAGAGUGGACGAGAGAAAUGCCCCUCCCACGGCCAAUACCACAGCUUCUGUAACCAUUUUCUCCUCUUGAGCUAGAAGGAUUGAACCAGGAAAAACUAGAUUGGAGGAAGACUUGAGAGUGAAGAGUAACUUCUGUGGAUAUUUCCUUGUUAAUUGUGGCGUUGCCUUGACUAAGGUUGACUUGGUUUGCUUUGUUAGCAAUUUCUUCUCAGUUUUAGAAGAAUUCGCGAGAGACACGUUCUACCAUACCAUUGAAUCCAACUAAAAAGGGGGAAAGGUAAAAGCUGUCAGUUGAUCCGGUAAUUGUAGAUUGUUGAUUUUAGCUACUAAUUUAUUCUCUUCAAGAAUUGGUUUACAGUUUAGAACUUUAUAGAGAAUAAUAAGAAUUACUAGAAUGAAUGAAGUACUAUUUUAUACAGAAUAAUUGAAAUAAGUGAAGCACUAUUUUAUGCAAAAUAAUUAGAGCAAGUAGAGUACAAUUUUAUACAGAAUAAUUAAUACAAGUAGAACAACUAUUUCGUACAGAAUAAUCAAUUCGCAUGGAUAACAGUGAAAAUAACCUAAAAUAAGUAGUAAGGUUCACAAGUUACUUUUAUUUCUAAAAAGUUUGUCUUGGUGGCUCAAAUAUGGGGUAAUUAAGAGGUCUUCCUCUUAAUCUUUUCUUAGAGUACAAGUUUUUUCUUCUCUUACCAUGUUCUUUUGUACUUGUUUAUGUACACUUUUUUUUCUUGUACUUGUUCAUGUAUACUUUUUUCUCUUAACUUGUUAUCCUAUAGCUUUUCAUAUAUACCUCUUUUUUAAUACCUUCUAUUCGAAAACAAAUCUUAUUACACCUAAUUACUUUGAUUGUCAUAUAAUGAGUUUCUAACUGUUACUCAUUAUAUGUAAUAAAAUCACCAUUUCAAUAUCCAUAUAAUGGGUUACUGUACUGAUUUCUCACAUUAAAACCCUUCAUAAUAAUAUCACUUAUUAUGCGCAUUAAAGCCUAUUUUUGAAUAAUCAUCACUUCUAACACUAUGUAUAAAAUGUUCACAAUUCAUUUGAGGGAUUUCACUUUUUUAGUGCUUCUCUCUAACUUUCUCUAAUUCUCUUCUUAUUUUCUUCCACCUCCCAUGAUAUUUAGUACUUUAAGAACUGCUCCAAUCUUCUUUUUCAUCGCUUUCCGUAUAUCUUUUUUACUUAUUUGUAACGCUUCCUCUCCCUAUCAUAAGAACUGACCGUUUACAUUAAUAAAUUUGUAAAAUAAAAUCAAAAGUUAAAAACAAAAAACUAAUCCGCAAUAUAUUUUUUUAAACACUGGUAGUUUUACUGCUCUAAGAUGUGUCUCAAUAGAGACUUACAGAGAGAAGGUCGCAUUGCGACUGGCAGAAUACGAAAAAGUUCCCAAGGUAGGGACGGGCAGCAAUUAAGGGAGUCCUGAUGUGUUAAUAAUCAUAACAACCAUAAAGUCACAAUCAACCAUCUAGCGUCAAGACACAGCGGAUCAUUUGUUCUUGUUACAACAAUUUAAAAGCAAAACACAUCAAACCAAGAAAGUCAUGAAUUGAGAAAGACAGAAGCUAGAUGGCUUCACCCCUGCUCGAGUCCGUGAAGUAGGCACUAAAAUUAUUUGUUCUUGUAACUCCCACUUUAGCUAAUCCAUCUGCCACAGUGUUUGCCUCACGUAGGAUGUGUUUGAAUGAGAUUCCAGUGCAGCUUUGUGAAUAAGCUUCAAUGGCAUUGGAGAUGGCUUUCAUGCCCCAUGGGACCUUGCCAUUGUCUUUUGUCAAAAUAUUAACAUAUAUUAUUAGAUGAAAAAUAUAAUUCCAUACAAAUGAAUAAAAUGUUAAGGUAAAAGAAAAAAUUAAUUUUUUUCAAAUAUUACGGUAAACAUGUAAGAAUAAAAAUAAAAAUACAUCUCUUUUGAUGUAAGAUAAAUAAAAUGUAUUAUUAAGAUAUGAUAAUUAUAACUGUAAUAAAGAAUAAGAACAAACAUAACCUCAUAAUAGUUUAACGUAAAUAAGUAAAAUUUUAACAUAAUUAAUUAGUUGAAAUUAACAUUUCUAAAAUCUUAAUGUAAAUGUUUAUAAAAAUGAUAUAAAAACAUAAACGCAAAUUAGAAAAGAUUAAUAUUUAGUUUUUCUUUUUUAAAAGAGUUUAAAGUAAUUUGUUUUCCUCAAAAAGUAGUUAUCAAGUAUUUUUAAAUGAAAAGCAUAAUUCCACACAAAUGAAUUAAAUGUUAAUGUAACAAAAAAAAAACCCUUCUGAAAAUAUUAAUGUAAAUUUAUAAAAAUAAAGAUAAAAAUAUGUAAUAUUUAAUAUAAAAUGAGUAAAAAGUAUCAUAAUCAAGUUAAAAUUUAAGUUAUGAUAAUUAUGACUGUAACAUAGAGUAAGAAUAUAAGCAUAAAUUUAUAAUAAUUAAACGAAAAUCAGUAAGAUGCCAACAUAAGUUAAAACUAUAUAACUUUCCUAAAAUCUUAACAAAAAUAUGUAAAAAUAAUUGUUAAGAAAAAUAUUGGACUCAAUGAGUUAUAUGCUCCAUUGAGAUCUCGGCUGGUGUUGAUGAAGCCUUUUCCUACUCUUGAUGAGGCCUACAAACCUUGUCCUUAGAGAAGAAACUCAGAGAUCAAUCCUUUAUAGACAGCCUUUUCAUGAGGCAUCGGCUAUGGCUAGUUUAACAGGUGGAAGGAAGAAAGAGAAAUCUAAUCUGGUUUGUUCAUAUUGUGGUAAAUCUGGUCAUGUCAGGGAUAAGUGCUACACACUUUUUGGUUUCCCAUCGAAUUUUAAGUUUACAAAGGGAAAGAACAAAUAAGAAAAAUGCAAGAACAAUUUUCAAUGUCAAUAAUACCGUGGCAACCUUGCAACCAGAUCAGUGUGAAGAAGUUUCAAAUGCUAGUUCAAACAUGUCUCUAAUAAGAAAUCAAUAUAAGAAACUCAUGGUCCUCCUCAACAAGCAAGGAAAUGCUUCAAUUGAUAAUCCACCCUCAAACAACUCCAAUAACAACCUUGGUAUGGAUUCUUACCAACAUAAUCCUUCAAUUAUUAAUUUGGCACUCGCUAGUAUGAUAUCCAAUUCAUUUUGUUCACAAACUAGACUAUCUGCUGAGCCUGCAUUCAAGUUUGACUGUCAUACUUGGAUAAUUGAUUCUGGUGCUAUUAAUCAUAUAGCAUGUUUUAAAAUCUUUCAUAUCAUCAAGGAUAAUUAAGAAUGUUUAUGUUCAAAUGCCUGAUUAUAGAAAAGCAAUUGUAUCUCAUAUAGGCACUAUUUGGAUAGUCUCUAUGCAUGUUUUAUUUUGGAUAUUGGCUAUAUAUAUUUUUUUAUCUAUAUAUGGUUCUAUUUUUUUCAUCUCAAUACUAAUCACUUUCAAGUAUUUCCUUGUUGUCUUAUUUGAUUAUAAUUCUAUAUAUAUGCUUAAAUUUCAUAUCAUUUUGGUACUUUAACAAUUGAAACAUGAUUUUGAAAUGACAUUUUUCUUUGAUAUUACAAAAAGGGGAAGAAGUAUUGAGCAAGUUUGCACAUGUUAUUUUGGUUUUUAACUUGGACUUAAAUGAAGUCUAGAACUUUGACAUUGCAUUUAAAUGAAAUUUUGAUCCAAAAUUCAAUUUCCAAACUUAGCAUAAAGUGAGGGGGAGUUUUUCAAAAUCAAUCCUGGAAAAAUCAACAAAGUUUCAACUUAAAAAUUUAAGGGGAGUUUUCAAAAGGUUUUUAACAAAUUUUGCUCAUUGAUUUUGUCAUAUAAAAAAAUAUAAGAUUGUCAGCUUUAACAAUUGAUCUUAUAUUUUAAAAUGACUUAAACGAAUGAUCAAAAUUGCAAAAACAAAUUCUUAAAAUUCAUCCAAAGUCCCCAUGAACCUUCAAGAAAAAUGGCCAAGUGUUUGGACAUGCUUUAAUGCUAAAAAAGCUCAAAAUCAUGCAGUUUAAGUCAAGAGUAUCAAUAUCUCACUAUGUAAACCAUUCUAUCUAAAAAGUAUCAAUAUCUAAAGGUAAAGAAUUGAUACCUCAUUCAUGUCAUGCAUAAAAGUAUCGAUACUUUUGUUGGACAUGUCAAAGAUUAAGUGUCAACUUCAAAAAUAUCAAUACCCAAAGGAAGAGUAUUGAUACAUUUCAGACAGACAGUAUUUUGUCUUGAAAGUAUCGAUACCCUGACAAAAAGUAUCUAUAAUCAGCUAUCUGAAGAAGCCACAGGAAAGUGCUGACCUUAUUGCUUUUCUGGAGAAAUCAACUGCCUGAUGCUUCUGCUUUUGUAAUUAGCCACAAAUAAAUCGAAUGAAAUUCAGGAAAAGAAAAAAGAGUCUUUGCAAAGGCAACAUCGUCCUUCCAAGAUGCCAAGGAAUUCUUUCCUUUUGGUAUAAGAUACCAUCGGAUAAAGUGACCUCCACUCACCACUUUGUCUUUGAUACUCCUACUAUUCUUUAUGCUGGUGUUAUCUUUUGUUUUAUUUUCUAGGCUUUUUCUCGGAUACCCACUAAUAUUUAUCGAUUGUCCCUUUCGUCAAUGGAAAAUACAAACUAGUAUUAGUCCAUUGCUUUAUUCUUUUUAAUGAUAAAGCAAUUCCUUAGAAAUUUUCAACAAUUAAUGUUCCCUAGACAAAGAAAAAGGAAAACAAAAGAGGAAUAAAGCAUAAAAAAAAGUAGACUAUCAAAUUAAGACAAAGGCCUGCUUUUGAAAUUAAUUCUUAUACCUUUUUAAAGUUAAUUUAAUAACAAUUAAUUAUAGUGUUAAAGUUUUAUCUUGAAUAUAAAUGAUGUGUCAUUUUAAUAAUGCUAUGGUUUGAUGAGAAUAAUUCACUUUUUGACCAUGUGGCACACUGUACAUUAAUCUCAAAAAGUGUAUGUUUUUUUAAAUAAAUAAUAAUCAAUUUUUUAGCAUAAUUAAGAAAGUGAUAACGAAAUUAAUUAAUACAACUGAAAAAUCGUUUCUCAUGAUGAGGUCGGAUUACUUUCGAAGCAAUUGCAUUGUUCAAAAGGCUUCAUCGAAACCAAAGUAAUUCUUUUUCUGUGGUACGGCACAAAAUAUUAUCACGUUUCAGGAAUGUAUAAGUGUAAUGAAUUCAAAAGUCGCCCAUCUAGUUUACGCUUCUUACACUUUUGUCUCUUUUAUUUGUUUCAUCUAAUGUGAUAAAAAUAUUAUUAUUGGAUCAUCGAAGAGUGACAUUUACUAAUAGUAAUUUAUGAUAAGUCAACUUAGUUACAUAUAACUUGUACAAUUUCUAGUAUAUCACUAAGUGUUUAUGAACUUCAUUUCUUGAAAUUAUUAAAGAGCGUAUCUCUUGGAGUGGUUUAAUCAUAAUUAAAAAUUUUUGAUUGAUAAUGGUAAAUGUAUAAAUUUUGCUUUAAAUGAAUUCAUUAGAUGAAAUUCGAUUUUAUUUAAAAUUGAAAACUUUUUACAGAAUUAAAUUAUUUAAGUUUUGGAUAUCUUAAAUGCUCGUGAGAGUUGCAUGAUUGUGUCGUGCAUGUGUAGUGUGAUGUGAUGAUCGCAAACUUGGGUUAACCAUGUGAGAUUAUAAAUCAAGGAAAGGCUUCAAAGUUCCAAGGUAAUGUCACUUUCUUCGAUUUAAAAUUUUAUUUGUUCUCAAUGAUUAUUUAAUAAACGUUAAAAAAGUUAUAAAUGAUAAAUUUUGAAAAGAUAAUAAAAUCAGUCUGUAUCUAUCUACUUUUGUUUUGCUGACAAAUGAGACAUAUUUUCGUAUAAUCCAUCACAUCUUGCCGCAUACGAGGCUAAUAGUAACCCUGUUUCAGUAGUGCAACGAUCCAUUACCAACCAGGAUGUCCUGCUCAAGGAGUGUCGUGACAUUCCCGCAUUAAUUUUUGCCAAAGCUUUUCCACGCUUCGAACAUAUAUGCGUGGUUCCUUCAUUAGUAGAAGUCCAUUUUUCACACAAAAGUAUUUCGACCUUCCACUCUCUAGGAACUUCCUAAUGGCCACUGCUUGAGGAUUUUGAUGCAAAUUUUUCUUAAUAAAAUUAUGGAUAUCUGUGGUCACUUUACUAGUUGUCAUUGGUGUGAUCACCCUUAGAGCUACGAAUUCGGCCUUCCUACUGAGGGCGUCUACCACAUGGUUCGCUUUUGUAGCUUUGUGCUCAAAGGAGAAAUCAAACUUGACUAAGAACUUUUGUCAUCUUGUUUGCUUAGUUGUAAGUUUUGGCUGUGUGAGGAAAUGACUUAGUUGUAUUGUUGGUCUUAACCAUGAAUUGCGAUCCUAGCAAGAUAUGUCGUCAGGCUCGUAAACAGUGAAUCAUUGCUAGUAGUUCUUUCUCCUGUGUCAUGUAUCUCCUCUCAAUUUCAUUCAACUUUCGACUUUUGAAUGCAAUCGAAUGUCCUUCUUGUAGCAACACUUCUCCAAGGGCAAAGUUUGAUGCAUCCGUUUGUACCUCGAAGGGCUUUGUAAUAUCGGAGAGUGAUAAAACAGGAUCCAUCAUUAUUGUGUCCUUCAAACCUUCGAAGGCUUCUUGACACUAUGGUGUCCAACUCCACUUCUGCUCCUUUUUUGGUAAUUUUGUUAGUUCUAUGUUUUGUACUGACGAGAUCAUUUCACUAAACAUUUAUUGACGUAUAAUGAGAUUAAUCAAAACUUUUACAAGAUUUUUUAACACCAAAACAAUAUAGAAGAAAAUAUUGAAAAUCAUUUCAUUGAGCAUUUAUUGAUGUAUAAUACUUAAAUACUUUUUUUACUUCAAAAAUUAAAACUUAAAUUAAUAAUAAUAAAUAAGUUCCAAGUCCUAAUUGUUAAUAUUAAAUAAUCAUAUAUAUUAGUUAUAUUAUUUAUUUAUUUAAUCACGAGGUAAAGGAAAGCUUGCAAGCAUAAUCUUAACUCAAUUCGACACCACACUCAAGUCCAAUUACAUUGGACAGGGGCUCGGCUUUACUUCGAAGGCUCUUCCGUUAUAUUAUUUAUUUAUUUAAUCACAAGGUAAAGGAAAGCUUCCAAGCAUAAUCUUAACUCAAUUCGACGCGACACUCAAGUCCAAUUACAUUGGACAGGGGCUCGGCCUUACUUCGACGGCUCUCCCCCUUUAAUUCUUUCAAAGCCUGAUUGUAUCCCACGUUACUCAAGUCCAAUUUCAUUGGACAUGGGCUCCUCCUACACAAGAAAGGAAAAUAAUAUUUUCCUCAAUUUUUUUUAACUAUUGAGAAAUAUAUUUGGAGAAACAAUGCAUGUCACUGCCUGCUACGAGAUUCCACCAUUUUCAUCAUUAUCAAACCAUUAAAGCAUAGAGAAACAUUAGCAAUUAAGAUUCAUUGGUAUCUAGCAUAAUCUUUCUAGGCAUUGGUCACCUUCUCUUGCUUGCUGUCACUCUUCUCAUAGUAAUGGUAAGCUGUUGCACCAAAUAGCACUCAGUAUUAAAGACCUGACAAUUCGUGUUUAUAUUAUCGUAAUUGUGUCAUGUAACAUAAAGUAUUAACCGUUCUUUCAUGGCUUUGCAAAUGUUCUUCCUUUCAUGGUUAUUUUGAAUGACAAGAAAGGAGCUACGACACAGUGACAGCAGUUGUGACAAUGUUCAUUUAAACUCGUAUUGUUCUUUGUUUCUGGUGCUCUUGUUGUCUGCAUCGGCUUCAAGGCCACUCUCUACCUUCUGCUAUGUGAAGAUCUCUUCAAUUUACUAACUUAUGUUAAAAGUGUUGGGUUUUUUAAUUCAAAUAUCCGAUAACUUAAAUGGUCUUAAUUUUAAGAUUUCAUAAUAUUAAUGGAAUAAGUGUUAUAGUUUUAAUGGGAAUGUGAUGACUGCCUAUUAUUUGAAACUUUCCUAAUUUGGAGAGAGCAUUGUCUCUUUGGUGGAAGAGUUCUGCUCAUUUAAAGGAAAAAGAUAUGGGUCCCCAGCCUAGGCAAUUUUAGAAAAUAAACACCUUGUUACCAUCGCUGAAAACUACUAUUGGGUUAGAAGACUUGGAAAAAGAAAAGCUUGCAGCUUGAAGAACUUGAAAAGGAAAAAGCUAGGAACUCAAAAAGAAGAGACAUUGAUAUUUGCUAUGGUUGGAGAUUAGUGUCAUGAUCCUAAUGAGUAUUUGGUAGGUUAUUUAUCAUGAUUGUUCGUAUUUAAAACUCUUAUUUUAUAAUGAUGGAAAGUUCCAAUCUUGACAUAAUGUCAAAUAUUGACUAUCAAAUCCUUUUCGUUAGCAAAAAAAACAUUAUGUUAAUUAAUAUUUUUCAAAAUUAUUAAUUUCUACUUCCACUAUGCCUUAUUAAUUUUAUAUGGGUAUGUAUGUGUGUAUGUAUGUAUAUAUUUAUGUGUUUGAGAAUUUAAACAUACCAGAGCUAGAAUAAUCUCUGCCUAACAUAUUUGAGAUGUGAUACUAAUUAUAUAUUUAUAAUUUUUUUAUAUAUUUCUAAAAUAAUAUUUUAAAAAUUAUUUAGAGAAAUAAUGAACUAGAUGCUUUGUUGGUUUAGAAGUAGGUGUGCAGAAUAGAUAAAACUUGGUAAAAAAGCAAUGACAUGCAAGUGAAAUUUAUAUGAUAGCUUGUAUAUAUAUUAGACUUGAUAUGAAAAAAUUUGAAGGUUGGAGACGGUUCACUUAUUUUUUCUAACUCUCCUCCCCCACCAUGAGAGAGUUGGAUAACGGUUGGGGGUUGAAACUGAAUGAGGGGACCAUCAUAUUAGUUUAAAUUCUUUAUUUAUUAUCUAUAUUGCAUAGAUGGGCCAGAAUAAGCAAUAUUGGACAUAGUCUUUUAGUUAUUAGUCUAGGCCAGAAUAAACAAUAUUGGACUUUGUCUUUUUAUGUUAUUAGUCUAGUCUAAAAUAAACAAUAUUGAACAUUGUCUUUUCAUGUUAUUAGUUUAGGUUACAAUAAACAAUAUUGGGCUUAGUUAUUUUUGCUAUUAGUUUGAGCCAGAAUAAACAAUAUUGAGCUCAGUAUAUUUAUACUAAUUAAUUUGAGCUAGAAUAAAUAAUAUUGGGCUUAGUUUAUUUAUGAAAUUUGUCUGGGCUUAUAAACUAUUAAGUUGAAUGGGCUAUAACGUAUCUAAAAUUUUGGACUAAUAAAAUUAGAAAAGGUAAACUCAUUUAAAUGAAACUAAUUUUUGGAUCUAAUUGUGUUUUCUAGAUCUAAUUAGUUUGACUAUUUUAGUCAUGGAAGGAGUUUAUUUAGUCUAAAUUGAGCCCAUUUGAUUUUUGAUCAAGAUAUUAUUAUCUAUAUAAUAAAUUAAUUAAUAUCUAAUUUGUGUUAUACUUAUUUUUAUAUAUCUUGAUUAUUAUUGUGAUGCCAUAUAAUAGUAUACAUUUGAAUAAUUGAGAUUAACCACAAUAUCUUAAUUCUGAUAAGAUUUACAUUAAGUAAAUUUACAAUAUUUUAUUUUGAUGACAUCAACUUUGAAUGACAUCAAUUUUCUAAAUAAACAUAUUAUAUAAUUAUUUUUACUCCAUAGACAUAUUAUUCUAUUUUUAUGGUUAAUUAGGAUGAAAUUGAAGUUAUUUUUAUUUCCUUAAUUAGCCCACAGGUAUUGGGAAAUAUUAAUAAUUUUUAGUUUCAUAAUAAAAGAUAAUGAAUCAUUAUGUGUUAGAAUCUUUGUCCAUGGGUAAAUUUUGAUGACAUGUUGAUUCAUGUAUAUUUUUUGUUUGUCUUACAUCAAUAAGUCUAUCUUUAUGGUUGAUGGUUUGUGCCUCAUUUAUUAUUAAGUAAGCAUGUUUAUUUAUUUAUCUGCAGUUAAUCAAACUUUUAUGAUUUCUAAUGAUAAAGUUCCCUACUUGAUUGGUGACAACUAUAAAGGGUGAAAAGGGAGUGUUAUUCUCCAUUUAGGAGGCUUGGACCUUAACUAUACUCUUCUUAAAGAUAAGCUGAUUAUAUCUACGAGUAUUAGUACUCCAACUAAGAUAGCAUUGUAUGAACAGUGGGAACGAUCAAAUCGUUUGAGUAUGAUGUUUAUCAAAUCUCACAUUAUGACUAGUAUUCGUGGGUCGAUACUUGAUUGUAAGAAUGUCAAGGAAUUGAUUAUUGGUUCCAAAUAACUGUGUUAAAGGGGGGUGAAUAGCAUUUUUUGGCUCUUACAAAGCUUGACUUCUAAUCGGGGACAAAUUGAAGAUCAAUGAUGAGAAAUUUGAUACAAGAUGAAGGAAUGAUUUAAGAAAGAAUGAAAAUGAAAAAUAAAACAGAGUAGAUAAUACAGAAAGAUUUAUAGUGGUUCGGUCAAAGACUUAUAUCCACUACCUUGAUUGUUCAAUUAAGGAUUUUUCAAACCAAAUCACUAUGAACAGUGAAAUUCCCAAGCUUCCACCCAGCUUUUACAAUGGCUUUUCAUAGGCUCAGCCACAACCUUUAACAAUAGUUUUUCCCGAGAUCAACCAAAACCCAAAACUAACUUUUCUAGGCUGAGUUAGAACCUAUACAAUCAAUCAAGCAACCCAAGCUUAAUCAAUCCCUUAGAGUGUCUUGCACACUCUAAGUAUUCAAGGAGAAAAGAAAUAAAGAUGUCCUUAUGAUCACUAACCUGAUCUGAAUGGUACAAGUUGAAGUGCUUAACUCAAUUACAAGGAUUGGAGUGAAGGGUAGAAAGUAUACAGAGAAUUUUUGCUAUGUUUGAGCUCUUUUUGAUCUUGGAAGCCUUGAAUAUGUUUCAUAGCCGUUGGGAGUGCCUUAAAUACUUGGAAAAUCAAUUCUGAUGGAUGUUUGAUAGAUUUUGAUCAUUGAAACAGUUUAGAGUUGGUUUUAGCUGUUAAUCUAUCUUAUAGUGCUCAAAGUCAAAUUUUCAAACAGAGAGCAUUAAGUCGUUUCUGUCUUCCGAUCUCAGUUUCUAGCAAUGAGCUCUUAGUUGACUAACAUCUCUUAGUCGAUUAAGUCGUCUUUGCCUCUGAACCAGCCAUCUUCAUUUUUGAGUUUUAGUUGACUAACUCCUUUGAUUAUCUUACCAAGUGGCUUAUGUUUUGUGAUUCAAUUGUAGCUCCUCAUUCUUAUGCGUUUUGAUAUUCCCCUUUUUAGUGAUUAAUUUAUUAUUGGCAUACAUUUUCCAUCCUGCACACUCAAGUAGCAUAGUUAGACAUAAAUGAGUGGGAAUGUUUUAUUAUCAUAAAAAACUAAUGGAGUCAAUAAUCUCCUCCUUUUUGAUGAUGACAAAACAUUCCUUAAUUAACAGCACAGUGUCUAUUAGUUCCUUUUUGUUCUGCACAAAAUGAAAAUUUUCUCCCCUUCAGUGUGGGCUUCCCCUUAAUGUAUGCAUGAUUUUAUUAGUCAAUUCUACAAGUUUUUAUCUAUUUCUUAAUGAAAAUGAUAGGUAUAGAUUCAACCAUUUGACAAAAUAUUUUUAUAUAGCCUUAUAAAACAAUCAUCUAUAGGUGACAGAAUAUCAAUCACUGUCAUCUGCAAAUCAUAUCCAUUCCAAAAACAAAUGCGAUUAACCAUCCAACAUAAAUAUCACAUAUCAUAAAAGCAUAAUCGACAUUCAUAUUCAUUCACAAACAAAUUCCAUUCACAAUUCAACAGGAAUAUCAUGAAAGCAAGUUAUCAGUAAACAAAAUAACAUAAGCAUCCAAUUAACAAAAUAACAUAAACAGCUUAUCAGUAUCCAAUUUUCAGCAAAAUAACAUCCCAAUCAUCAUAGUCAGAUUUAGAUUCCUAAAUUACUCUAUCUCCCCUAAGCUUUCUAUUUUCCUUAUCUCCCCUAAACUUUCUAUUUUUUCUCCCUUUUUGUCAUCAGUAAAAUAGGGGUGAUGCACUGGCUUAAGAGGAAUUAGAGGGGGUAGACUCAUUAGUUCCAAAGUGGACAUUGAGGGAUUCAAAAGAUGGCAUAGGUGAUGAUCUUUGUGGUGAGCAGUCAGGGGAAGAUUUGUCUGAAAUUUAGAAUGGAUCUUGAGCAGAAGACUUGAUUGAGGGUUUGCCUCUAUCAGCUAGUUUGGAAGACUUCUUCCUCUUGAGGAAUUUUGGCUUUGUUGUCAUGGUUUUCUUGCCUUUACUAGUAGGUUUGGAUUUAGCUUUUGUGGAAGCAGCUGCUUACCCUUGUUCUGUAUCAGUAGGUCCACUUUCUCUGAUAAUGUGAACCGACUCAAGAGAAGCCUUUGUAGAUACUGACUUUUGAGCCUUGUUCUUUGCUACUUCUCUUUCUGCUUGUUCUUCUCUGACCAUUUGGUGAAAGACAUCCAUUAUUGAAACUUCCUCAGAGUUAGAAGGAAAUGGUUUUUUUCGUUGUGGUUCAUCAUUUUGUGGAGAGUCACCAUUAAGAGAUCCUAUCACUUUAGUACCUUUAUUGGAUUCUUUUUGCUUUUCAAGUUCAGGGGUAGGUGAUCUCUUUGCUGGACCAGAUUCUGGUUCAUCUCCUUUAGCUGGGAAAAUAGGGCUUUCAGCAGCUUGUCCUGCCGGUGCUGGACUUGGUGUUACAAAAGUGUCUUCAGCUGCAGGACCAAAAGGUGAUUUUCCUUUUUCUUUCAUCACAUUUUCUAGCUCUUUCAAUUUAUCUUCAAUUUUCUAUAUUCUUGCUGACUGGUCAAUGAGCUUCUCAUUAAUUCUCAUUAGCAAAUUCAAAAUCAUUUCAUUUGAGAUAAAGAAGGAAGUAGCCUCUGUCUGAGCAGAGAUGGAAUGCUCAUCCCUUGGAGUAACCUUGGGGGUUUUAACAAACUUUUCUCCUUUUAGUUUGUAUCCCAUCUUUGGUAAACUUCCUAGAUAGAUUGCUUGGUCCCUACUCUUAACUUGGUCAUUCUCAUAUCUCGAGCACCAUAUCCCCUUUUUCUUCACCAAUGAGAUGAUUAUGUUCACAUAGGGCAGAUUCACCUUCUCAACUUGACAUGUUCCUCUCAUCCUUUCUAUCAUGAAUCUACCUAAGUUGAGGGGAGUAGCAUUAAAGGCAUGCUUCAUCAGCCACAUAUCUUGAAGGCUUACGUAGUUGAAGCUACCGCUUCUUCCAUGAAUUGCUGUGGUAAUGAAAUAAUGUAGGAUCCUACUCUGAGGGCUUUCAAUGAAACUGGCAUAACUUUUGGAUGAAUAUCUUUCCUUUUUCCUUGUGAUUAUUUCCCACAAAGAUGAGGGAUCAUAAUCUUCAAGGAUUUCAUAUUCUCCCUUUUCACAGUUAACCUUAAGUAGACUGCUCAAAUCUGUGGCAGUGACCAUAAACUCCUUUCCAUUUUUCAGACAAUUAUCAACAAAAUCCUCAAGAUCUUGAGGUUCAUUUUCAUCUAAUGCAAUGCUAGCAUAGAAUUCCUUCACAAGGCUAGCACUAUAAGUUUUGUUCUUAAAAAUGCUCAACUUUUUCAAUUUUAUCUCUUCAAAAUAAUUCGAUAAACCCUUUUUAAUUUCUAGAACCUCAUUGAAGCUAUCCCGGUCAAUUUACUUCCUGCAUGAAAUGGGUGCAUUCUCUAUUUCCCUAAACCUAUCCUCAUAAGUGUUAUUUCUAAAUUUUGAGGAUAGAGGAGUACCUUUCUGAUGGAUUUUUCUUUUUCCUUCUUUUUCUCUGAUUUUUGUUCUUUCUCUCUCUGUUUCUUCCCAAUUUUCUCUAUCAUCGAAGCUGACUCAUCUUUCUUUCUCUUCUUUUGAAUCUUGGUUGGUGGACUUCCUUCCAUGGGUCAUUUUCCUUUCUUCUUUUCUAGAAUAUUACUGGGUAAUGUGGAUUUGGCCAUCGAUUUUGAGUGGUAUUAGACUUAAGGUAUUGAGAGUUUGAGAGGUAAGCGUUUCAAUUUUGAGAGGAGUGGCUUCAGAUGGGAGAGAAUGGAGUGAAAAGGAGUUUAGAGAAGUUAUUUUUCCUUUGGAAACCAUUAGACUCCCCUUUUUAAAUGUUGUCAGUUACCCUAUUUCAAAAUUCAAAAAUUUACCUCUCUUUUUAUUUUUAGUUUAGCGAUUUUUCUUUUUUUUUUUCACCCGAUAUACCUGUCCUUUUUUCCUUAAAUCUUAUCAGUUUUAUUUCAGUCUCUUAACUAACUAAGUGUUGCUUUUAUCCGACUAAGUCUAUUAACAAAAAUAUACAAAAUGCUUUUAGUUGGUUAAGCGAUACACUUAAUCAACUAAGUGCCUACUGUCUUAUGAUUGAAAAGCUCAGAAAUUUUCCUAAAGCUCCUGUACAUUAAUCAUUCCUAGAUUUCUCUUAAUCUCACAGAAUCUUUUUUCAUUUAGGAGCUUGGUGAAUAUAUUAGCUAAUUAUUGCAAGGUGUUAACAAACUCAAUUUUAAUGUCUCCUUUAAUCACGUGGUCUCUAAUAAAGUGAUGUCUAAUUUCAAUAUCUUUGGUCUUAGAGUGCUGAAUCGGAUUCUUUGAAAUAUUGAUGGCACUCAUGUUAUCACACAAUAUUGGUACAUUAUGCAUGGUUACUCCAAAGUCUUUUAAUUGUUGUUUGAUCCAUAAAAUUUAAGCACAACAACUACCUAAAGAGAUGUACUCAGCUUCAGCUGUUGAAAGUGUAACAGAGUUUUGUUUCUUACUUGACCAAGAUACUAGUAUGUUUCUUAGAUGCUGACAAGUGCUACUAGUACUUUUUUCAUCUGUUUUACUUCCUGCAAAGUCAGCAUCAAAAUAUCCAAUGAGAUCAAAAUAUGAUCCUUUUGGAUACCAUAGUCCUAGACUUUGUGUGUCUAAUAGGUACUUAAAGAUUCUUUUUAUUACAGUUAAGUGUGACUUUUUAGGUUGUGAUUGAAACCAUGCACACAAACAUACACUAAAUUGCAUAUUAGGCCUGCUAGCAGUUAAGUGAAGCAACGAUCCAAUCAUACCUCUAUAAAGCUUUUGAUCAAUACUUUUUCCUUUUUCAUCUUUAUCAAGCCUUGUAGAAGGACUCAUUGAAGUGUGGAUUGACUUCAACUUCAUUAUAUCAAACUUUUUUAGCAUGUCUUGAGUAUAUCGUUGUUGAUUGAUGAAUAUACCAUCCUUACAUUGUUUGAUUUGAAGACCAAGAAAGAAUUUCAGUUCACCCAUCAUGCUCAUUUCGAAUUCACCCUGUAUUUCUUUAGCGAAUUUCUUGCACAAAACUUCAUUAGUAGCACUAAAUACAAUAUCAUCCACAUAUAUUUGAACAACAAUUAAAUCAUUCAAGUAUUUCUUAAUGAAUAGUUUUGUGUCUAUACUUCCUCUAACAUACCUUUUUUCAACUAAAAACUUUGAAAGCCUUUCAUGCCAAGCUCUAAGAGCUUGUUUCAAUCCAUAUAAGGCCUUAUGCAGUUUGAAAACAUAAUCAGGCUUUUCAAAAUCCUCAAAUCCGGGGGGUUGUUUGACAUAGACUUCUUCUUGAAUGGUACCAUUUAAAAUGCACUUUUUACAUCCAUUUGGAAUAAUUUCAAGUUGAUGAAACAUGCAAAUGCAAGCAAUAAUCUUAUGGCUUCUAUCCUAGCAACAAGAGCAAAUGUUUCAUCAUAGUUAGUGCCUUUUUCUUGGUUAUAUCCUUGAGCCACUAACCUAGCUUUGUUUCUAAUAACAUUACCUUGCUCAUCUACCUUAUUUCUAAACACCCAUUUUGUGCCAACAAUUGGGUGAUUGAAUGGCCUGGAAACUAGUGUCUGUACUUGAUUUCUUUCAAAUUGUUCUAGUUCUUCUUGCAUGGCCAAUAUCUAGCUUUCUUCUUUUUUUGCCUCUUCAAAGCUUUUAGGCUCAAUUUGUGAGAUAAAAGCUAAGAAUUCACAUGUUUCUCUAAUUCCUCUCCUGGUUUUGACUCCUUGAGAAAUGUCACCUAUGAUUUGCCUUUGUGGAUGAUCCCUGAUAUACUUCCAACUCUUUGAAAGAUCAUGGUGUUGAUUCUCAGUUCUUUGCAAAGUUUCUAAGGAUGGAGAUUCUGCUUCUCUUCCGAGGGAGUUUUCUCCCUAGGCUCAUUUCUUUCAUUUGUCUUUCAAAGUCCUCUACAUCAUUUUCAUCAGCAAGAACUUCAUUUUGCAAGGCAUUAGAUUCAUCAAAAAGUAUAUGGAUAGAUUCUUCAACUGUUAAAGUCUUUUUGUUAAAAACUCUAUAAGCUUUUGAGUUCAAUGCAUAUCCUAAGAAUAUUACUUUAUCACUCUUAGCAUCAAACUUUCCAAGAGAAUGUUUCCAUUAUUCAAUACAAAGCAUUUAUAGCCAAAGCUUCUAAAGUGAGAGAUGUUUGGUUUUCUACCUUUGUACAGUUCAUAUGAGGUUUUUGAUAUCAUGGCCCUUAUUGAGACCCUAUUGAGAAUAUAGGCUGCUGUGUUGAUAGCUUCUGCCCAAAAAUACUUUGGUAGGUUGUUUUCAUAAAGCAUAGUUCGAGCCAUUUCUUUUAAAGUUUGGUUCUUCCUCUCAACAACCCCAUUUUGUUGAGGUGUUAUGGGUGCAGAAUAACUAUAAUCUAAUCUUUUUUCAUUACAAAAGUUUUCAAAAUCAUCUCCUUCAAAUUCACCUCUAUGAUCACUUCUAAUGCUAACAAUUACAAGUCUUUUUUCAUUUUGAACUUUCUUACAAUGAUUUGCAAAUACAGGUAAUGCGUUGUUUUUGUGAGCAAGGAAGUAGACCCAAGUGUACCUAGAGUUGUCAUCAACUAUCACAAAGCCAUAUGAUUUACCUCCUAAGCUAGUUGUGUUGAUUGGACCAAAUAAAUCAAUAUGCAACAAUUCAAGAGGUCUAGAGGUUGAAACAAUCUUCUUGGAUUUGAAGGAUGUUCUAACUUGUUUACCUAGUUGACAAGCAUCACAAAUUUGAUCACUCUCAAAUUUAAGUUUAGGCAAUCUAAUAACAAGAUUUUUUUCUCAUCAAUUUUAAGAUGGUAUGCAUGCUUGCAUGUCCAAGUCUUUUAUGCCAUAACCAGCUAUCAUUUUUAUCAUUUGCCAAAAGACAUGUUUCACAAUUUAAUUCAAGAUCUUCGAGAAAUAUGACAUACAUGUUUUUUAUUCUUUUUCCUAUGAAUGAAAUUUUGUUGGUACUUAUAUCAAUGACUUCACAUUUGUUUGAAUCAAAACAUACCUUAAACCUUUUGUCACAUAGUUGACUGAUGCUUAAGAGAUUGUGCUUUAAUCCUUUAACAAACAACACAUGACUAAUUUGAGCAUGAGAGUUCUUACCAACAAUUCCUAUACCAUAAAUUUUACCUUUUGAAUCAUCUCCGAAUGACACCGUACCUCCAUUUUUCUUGUCCAGCUGAGCAAACAACAUUUCAUUUCUAGUCAUAUGUCUCGAGUAGCCGCUAUCCAUGUACCAUGGUUGCUUUUGCUUUAAUUGUGCUUUUUGACAUAUGUCUUCUUGGUUUGGCUCAGCCUGCAAGAUAAAUUUUCAUUUCUUCUUAAUAGGUACCCAUACGUUGAUGGGUCUUUGAAGGUUAGUUGCAACAUAGGAUCCUUUUGGAACCCAAAUCAUUUUUGUUUUCUGUGUGCUUCGUCUUCUAUAGUAGUUAUAAGAUAAAUGACCAAGUUUAUCACAAACAUAAUAUCUAGAAGAGAAAUCAUUAGCAUUUCUUUUGAAAUUUGUGUUGUUUCUUGCUGAUUCUUUUUUCAAACUCUUAAGAGUAGUAUUUUCAUCAAUUACUUUUUGUAAAGCUUCAAUUAUGUUAUCUAAUUCAAUUUUUAGAACUUCAAAAUCUGUUUUUGAAUGUUCUAAUUCAGUUUGAAGAUAACUUCUUUGCUCAAAAAUAGAGUUGAAAUCAUGUCUUAUCUUUUGCAAAUCAAUCUCAAGACAUGCAGUUUUCCUUUUCAAAUUUUUAUAUUUUUAUGCUAGUUUUUCAAACUCAUCGUAAAGACAUUCAUACUCUUUUUGUAGUUCAUCAAUUGAGAUAUUACAAAGAGCAGAAAAUACCUUGGAUUCAUCAUUUUUGGCCAUCAAACAUAAGUUUGCUCUUUUUUCCACUUUCUCUUCUUCAACAUCAGAACUUGAAACAUCACUAUCAGACCACAUUGCAGCCACAGUAGCCUUUUUUGAUUGUUUAGUUUUCUUGGGAGUUUCUUCCUUCAGCAAGGGGCAUUCUGAUCUGAAAUAUUCAAGCUUCUUGCACUCAUAACAAAUGACAUCUUCUUUCUUAUUGGAUUCAUUUUUAUUUUUUGUUUUUCCAUGAAGAGCUUUGUUCUCUUCUAUAACCUUUCUUAGCCAGCCUCCAAUCUCUUUGUCUCAUAAGUUUUUUGAAUCUUCUUGCUACCAUUGCAAAUUCUUCAUCAUCAUCAUAAGACAGAUUAUCUAAUUCUUCUUCAAGUGUGCUUACUUUUAAGGCAAUGUUUUUUCUUCUUUCUUUUGCUUUUCUCUUGUCUUCUUUUUUUUCUUUUUUAAGCUCUAACUCAUGAGUAAGAAAAGACUUGUAUAUUUCAUCAAGAGUGAUGAUAUUUAAAUCCUUGGCUUCCCUAAUGGCAGUCACUUUUGGCUUUCAAGUUUUAGGUAGGCUUCUAAGAAGUCUUUUCACUAGUUCAUGUUCAGAGAUAGGCUUUCCUAUUUGACUGAGUUUAUUUGUAAUAUUAGUGAACUUAUCCAGCAUGUUGGUGAUGUCUUCAUCAGGUUCCAUCUUGAACAUUUCGUAAUUGUGAGUUAGAAGAGCAAUUUUGGACUCCUUGACUUGUGAAGUCCCUUCAUGGAUGACCCUAAGUUUGUCCCAAACUUGUUUAGCUUUGGUAUAACUUGACACCUUGUUAAACUUAAUGGGAGUUAAGGCAUAAUCUAAAGUGUUUAUAGCCUUGAAGUUUGUCUGAACCUUUUUGGUUUCAACUUCAGUCCAUACAGCCCUUGGCUUAGGAAUAAUUUGUUUGUCACUACAUUUAUGGUCGAGGGAAUGAAAGGUCCAUUAGUGAUGGCAUCCCACAUCUCAUAAUCUAUUUCCCUUAUAUAGAUUGACAUUCUAGUGCUCCAAUAGGGGUAGUUAGGGCCAUCAAACAAAGGUAGUCUGUCCCUCAGUAACUAUUGAUUUUUGAAGAGCCAUUUGAAUCUACCCUAUGGAUGUUAAGCUUUAAAUAUGAGGGUCAGGCUUUGAUACCACUUAUUGGUCCCAAAUAACUGUGCUAGAGGGGGUGAAUAACACUUUUUGGCUCUUACAAAACUUGACUUUUAAUCGGGGACAAAUUGAAUAUCAAUGAUGAGAAAUUUGAUACAAAAUGAAGGAAUGAUUUAAGAAAGAAUGAAACUGAAAAAUAAAACAGAGCAGAUAAUACAUAAAGAUUUAUAGUGGUUUGGUCAAAAACCUACAUCCACUACUUUGAUUGUUCAACCAAGGAUUUUUCAAACAAAAAAACUAUGAAUUGUGGAAUUCUUAAACUUCUACCAAGCUUUAACAAUGGCUUUUCACAGGCUCAGCCACAACCUUUAACAAUGAUUUUUCCCGAGAUCAACAAAAACUCAAAACUAACUUUUCUAGGCUGAGUUAGAACCUAUACAAUCAAUCAAGCAACCCAAGCUUGAUCAAUCCCCUUAGAAUGUCUCGCACACUCUAAGUAAUCAAGGAGAAAAGAAAUAAAGAUGUACCUAUGAUCAUUAACCUGAUCUGAAUGGUACAAGUUGAAGUGCUUAACUGAAUUACAAGGAUUGGAGUGAAGUGUAGAAAGUGUACAGAGAAUUUUUGCUAUUUUUGAGCUUUUUUUUAAUCUUGGAAGCCUUCGAUAUGUUUCUUAGCCGUUGGGAGUGCCUUAAAUACUUGGAAAAUCAACUUUGAUGGAUGUUUGAUAGAUUUUGACCAUUAGAAACAGUUUGGAGUUGGUUCUAGUUGUUAAUCUGUCUUCUAAUAUUCAAAUUCAAAUUUUUAGAUAGAGAGCUCUUAGUUGACUAAUAUACUUUUUAGUUGAUUAAGUUGUUUCUGUCUUCUGAUCUCAGUUUUUGGUAGUAAGCUCUUAGUCGACUAACAACAACUCUUAGUCGAUUAAAUCAUCUCUGUCUCUGAACCCAGUUUCUAGUAGUAAGCUUUUAGUCAACUAACAAUACCUCUUAGUCGAUUAAGUCGUCUCUAUCUCUAAACCAGCCAUCAUCACUUUUGAGUUUUAGUAGACUAACUCCCUUGAUUAUUCGACUAAGUGGCUUCUAUUUUGUGGUUCAAUUGUAGCUCCUCAUUCUUAUGAGUUUUGAUAUUCCCCUUUUUGAUGAUUAAUUUAUUAUUAGUAUCCAUUUUCCAUCCUGCACACUCAAGUAGCAUAGUUAGACAUAAAUGAGUGGGAAUGUUUUAUUUUCAUAAAAAACUAAUGGAGCCAACACUGAUGAAGGCUAUUGAUGAGCAAUUUGAGUCUUUAGAUAAAGCAUUGGCUAGCAACCUAAUGAGCAAGUUGACAUCAAUGAAGCUUGCUAGUGUUAAAGGUGUUCACGAGCACAUUAUGCGAAUGAGGGAUAGAGUUGUUCAAUCAAAGUCCUUAAAAGUGGAGAUUUCUGAUGAUUUCCUGUUGCACCUUGUUUUGUAUUCUCUUCUAUCUCAAUAUAAUGCUUUCAAAAUCUCCUGUAACACAUGUAUAUUUAAGAGAAAAUAAAAUUGAUUCAGGAAAUGGGUGAAAGUGCACAUUUUGUAACAGGAGUUGAUAAGAAAGCUUCUAACAAGAAAGGGAAGGGAAAAUCAAAUGCAACUGGCAAAUUUAAUGGACCUACCUAUACUAGAAUGAAAGACAAAUCCACGUGUUUCUUUUGUAAAACAAAAGGAUACAUGAGGAAGUAUUGUCCUAAACUGAAGGCUUGGCUUGAAAAGAAAAGUAAUCUCAUAUCUUGUGUGUGUUAUGAAUUUAAUAUGGUUUAUGUUUCCCAUAACACUUGGUGGGUUAAUUCUAAUUCUACAAUCCAUGUUUCUAAUAUGAUGCAGGGUUUUCUAAACCUAAGGAAAUUGACAAAGAGUGAAUACAACAUCUAUUCUGAAAACUAGAUGCCUUCUUGUGUGGAAGCAGUUGGAAUGUAUAGACUAGUUUUAAAAACUAGUUUUGUUUUGGAUUUAGAAUGAACAUUUUACAUUCCAAGUUUUUUUAUAAAUUUAAUUUUUGUUUUAAGACUUAUACCUUUGUAUUAUUCCUUCAACUUUUUUGGAACAUUUUUUAAUUUAUUAAAAAAUGCAACUAUUGUUGUAAAUGGUACAAUGGAUGAUGGUUUAUUCAAAAUUCAUUUAAAUGAUAGUGUUCCUUAUAGUUUGAUGGCUUCACACGAUAGUACUGGUAGUAGUAAACAUUGUGUUAUGAAUGAGAAAUCUUCCAUAUUGUGACAUUGAAGAUUUGGACAUAUCUCCAUUGAGAGAAUCAAAAGGUUAGUAAAUGAUGGAGUUUGGAAACUCUUGUCUUUAUGGAUUUUGAUACUUGUGUAGAUUGCAUUAAAGGAAAACAGACUAACAAGACUAAAAAAGGUGCCAUGAAAAGCUCUGAAAUAUUAGAAAUCAUAUGCACAGACAUUUGCUGCCCUAUUAUGUGGUUAAGUGGUCAAAAAUAUUUCAUCACUUUCAUUAAUGAUUACUCAUGAUUUAUAUAUCUAUCCUUGCUUCAUAAAAAGAACGAAGCUUUAGAUGUUUUUAAGAUAUAUGAAGUAGAGGUAGAUAAACAAUGUGAAAAACAAAUUAAAAUUGUGAGGUCAGAUGGAGGUGGUGAUUUCUAUAGAAGGUACAAAGGAAUUGGACAAGCACUUGGUUCAUUUGUUGAUUUUGUCAAGAGUAAGGUAUUGUAGCUCACCAUCUCAAAACGGUGUAGCAAAAAAAAGAAUCAAACAUUAAUGGAUAUGAUAAGGAGUAUGCUUAACAACUCCGAACUUCUUUUAUCUUUAUGGAGUGAAGCCCUUAAAACAACGUACAUAUUAAAUAGAGUUCUAAAUAAGGUGGUUCUUAGAAUGCCAUUUGAAUCAUGGAAAGGUUGGAAACUAAGUUUGAGACAUUUACAUAUUUAGGGUUGUUCAACUGAAGUUAGAUUUUAUAAUCCAAAAAAAAAAAAGUUAGGCAUAAGGACUAUAAGUGGAUAUUUUAUUGGAUACGUUGUAAAAGUCCAAGGGUUACAAGUUUUAUUGUCUAGAUCAUACAAGUAGAAUUGUUGAAUCAAAUAAUGUUAAGUUUAUUGAGAAUGACGCAGUUAGUGGGAGUGAUCAACUUAGAAACUUAGUUUUUGAAGAAGUUUGUGUUUUUUAUAUAUCUCCCACAUCAAGUAGCGGAUUGGUUGUUCAUCCAAAUAUAGUGGACAUUAAGGAACAAAUUAUACAAGCUCCAUCUACUGAAAAUGCUUUAGAAGAUCUUAUUGAGAAAUUACCAUAAGAGGAAUAACCUAUUGUGGAACAAUCUCCACAAGAGGUUGUUGACACAACAUUAAGAAAGAUCUAUUAGAGCAAGAAAAUUAGUAAUUUUUACUGAUUAUGUCAUGUAUCUACAAGAAUCUGACUAGGACGUUUGUAUCAAAAAUGACCUAGAGAUGUUUUCACAAGUAAUGGAAGGUGAUAAAUCUAAAUUUUGGUAUGAUGCCAUGAAGGAUGAGAUGAGUUCUAUGGUAAAUUAUCGAAUCUAAGAUCUUGUUGAGUUGCCUAACUAGGGGAAGGCCAUUGGUUGUAAAUAGGUAUAUUAAACCAAGAAAGACUUAUUAGGCAACAUUGAUAGACAUAAGGCUAAUCUUGUUGCUAAAGGAUUCUCAAAAAAAGAAGGAAUUGAUUAUCGAGAGACAUUCUCUCAUGUUUCGAAAAAUGAUUCUUCCCAUAUCAUCAUGGCAUUAGUUGCACAUUUGGACUUAAAUUUACAUCAAAUGGAUGUGAAAACAACAUUCCUCAAUGGAAAUUUAGAGAACGAGGUUGAUAUGAAACAACUUGAAGGGUUCAUUUCAAAUAAAGGUAAGCAUUUGGUUUGAAAGCUUAGAAAGUCCAUACAUAGACUGAUGCAAGCCUUUCGUCAGUAGUAUUUAAAGUUCCAUAAUGUUAUCUCUUCAUUUAGUUUCAUAGAGAAUGUUAUGAUCAAUGUAUAUACCACAAGGUUAGUCAGAGUAAAAUCAUUUUUCUGGUUCUAUAUGUUGAUGAUAUUUUGCUUGUAACUAAUGAUAUGGGAUUGCUACAUGAGGUAAAACAAUUUUUGUCUCAACAUUUUGACAUAAAAGAAAUGGGUAAAGCGUUUUAUGUCAUUGGCAUCAAGAUUCAUAUCUUAGGUUUGUCUUAAAAAGCCUAUAUCAAUAAGGUUUUAGAGAGAUUUUAGAUGAAAAAAUGUUCACCUAGUGCUGCACUUAUUAUGAAAGGUGACUAGUCUAAUUUGAACCAAUGUCCUAACAAUGAACUUGAGAGGGAACAAAUGAAAAACAUUCCAUAUGCUUCGGCUGUUGGAAGCUUAAUAUAUGCUCAAGUCUGUACUAGACUGGACAUUGCAUUUGCAGUAGCAAUGUUGGGAAAAUAUCAAAGUAAUCUAGGCUUAAAUCAUUGAAGUGUUGCAAAAAAGGUCAUAAGGUACCUUCAAAGGACUGAAGAUUUCAUGUUUACAUAUAAAGAUUUGACAUCUUAGAAGUUGUUGAAUAUUCGAAUUCAAACUUUGCUGGAUGUUUUUAUUCUCAAAAGUCAACAUUUGGAUAUAUCUUUAUUGUUCAUUUUUCUGCUCAUGCAAAUGUACGUAUCCCUCAAUACUAAUAAUGAAAACUAAAACUAAUCUAAAAUCUAUUAGCAAAUUUACUUUAUUAAAUGUGAAUGACUACCAGACCUAAGAUUACGAUAUCCCUUAAUACUUCAUCUGAUUAUUAUCUCUCUUUCUUAACUUAGUUUAAUGGAUUAAGUUGCUAACCUAGAGUCUUAAAUUAUUUACAAGUCUCUGUCGAGUUUCUUAUAAAAAUAUAUCUCCUAAUUAAUUUACUAUAUGUCUAUGCAAAUUAAAGUAAAGAAAGAUUCAUUAAGUUUGUUCUCUAAUUUUGGCUACGUAUGGCUUAUAAGUGUAUAUCUACCCUAUAUGCAAAUCAAACCACCAACUCAACCAAGUAUAUUCGGUCAUACGCUAUCUUAUUCAAGGUCCACCUAAAUCUUCUUCGUCAAGGUUUAACAUAGGUUUCCAGUUUAAUCUAAUUGGUGGCCAGUCAACUAGAAGCAUUAAGAACAGAAUAAAAUAGCAACUUAAAUCCCUCAAACAUAAGUAAAAGAGAGAUAAAUAAUUCAAACUAUAUAUUGAGUUCAAUCAUAAUCUUAGAUUAAAAAUUUAGUUCUCCAUCUAGUCAUACAUCAUCGUUGAAUAAAAUCUAAAUAUUAAAAACAAAACCAAGAAAAUAAGAGAAUAAAAGAAAAUAUAGAAAAACUGAAGAAUUGUAUUCUUGAUUUCCAAAUCAACUUGAAUCCUUCAAAUUCUACUUAGCUUCAAUGACUUUGUAGCUUGACUUUCAGCUGUUAAUAUGGUGUUUCUUCGUCUUUCGUCCUCCUAUUAAGUCAUCCGAAAGGUUAUUUUUAUAGGCUUUGAAGUUAGGCCAAGUUGGGUGAAAAAUAAGUCAAUUUUAGCUGGGAUUUCCUCAUCAAACUAUGCAAGUCGCAACCUUACCCAAUUAAUUAACAAAAAUCAUAAUUGCCCUAGGACUACUACAGUGUGUCAAUUUUGACAUGAUUUUUGACCAUCUUCCAGAUCGAAUUGGAUAAAGUGGUAAACAUGAAAGUUGUAUUUUUUUCUCUUAUCUUUCCAAUGGUCUAAGAAUCACUUCAUUUUAAGCUUAAGUAAAAUUUAUCGUUGCACUCGAGCAUUUGGCUCAUUUGUUGGUGCAUGAUCCCCUGUCUACAGAACAAGGUUUGAAUCCCCUUUCCACAAAUAAAAACAAAGUGAAAUUUAUCCUUAUAUACAAUUAUAAUAUCCUUGUGAUAAUUCUGAAGUUAAAAAAUUCAUAACUUUAUAUGGUGGAAAAACACAAAUAAUUUCAUUCCUCCAUGAACAGGGGAUGGUAGCAUUAUUAUGAGGGGGUUAAAUCUUUUAUUCAUUAUAUGUUUUGCUUUUAAGGUCCAUUCAAAAUAAUUUAUUUAUUUAAUAAUUAAUACAAAUAAAGAAUAAUAAAUGAUCUCAUAAGCUUCACUUAGCUUUAUCGUAACUUCUAAGUUUUUCCACAACCCUUUCUCUCUUUCUUUUUUUCUCUUUCUCUUCUCUUUUGUCCUUUCAUUUUUACUUUACUUUUUUCUCUGUAACUCUCCACUAAGACACAAUUCAUUCUUCAAGAGAGAUUUGUAAGCUUGGAUAAUGAAAGACGGAACUUACUAACCACUAUUGUGUGAAAUUAAGAAAUGGUAAAGUUUUCUUUUGUUUUAUUCUUUCUAUUUAUAUUAUUAUUACUAUUUAUAUUUGUGUAUCUUUUUCAUUUCUAUUCUAUUUAUUCAUAUGUUUUAAGUUUCUAUAGAUUUUUUUCUCCAAAUUUCUAUGAACCAUCAAACAUGUUCUUCUUCUUUCUUUUUUGUUAUAUGGGUUCUGUGUUUUGUUUGUCAUGUUCCUAUGUUUUUCUUUUAUCUAGUAUGUAAAUUUUAUUUUCUAUGAUUUUAGUAUUUAAAUUUAAAAAAUUAUUAUUUAAUUUUUAAAUAUAAGUUGUAGUGUUAUACUAUUGGUUGUUGCUUAAAAUUUCAGCAAUAUAUCAUAAUUUUUGUUAAUCUUGAUUGAUAGAUUAAUUCGCCUUGUUUUGACUCUUCCGAUUUCUACAUCAACUAUAAAAAGAGUCUUUUUAGUAAUGAAAGUUAUGAAGACAAGAUUUCGAAAUAAAAUAGAUGAUGAGUUUUUUGUAGAUAAUUUAGUUGUUUAUAUUGAGAAAGACAUAGCUACCCUUUUGAAUACAAAGUUAAUAAUGAUAAAUUUGAAUCCAAGAAACAUCAUUGAGAACAACUUUUCUAAAGAACUAUUGUAAGUCUUUCUUUUUUUAUUACUUUUAAUUUAUAUAUUAUAUAAAAUUAUUAUCUAUUAUAAAUAUUUUGAUUGUUGGUUAAAUUUAAUAUAUUUGUUUUAGAAAUUUUUAGCCCUUAUUCCUCUUCGCCUUUGACCCUUUAAUAAAAAUUGAUUAACUUUGCCCCUCCAUGAAUUUGAUAUUGGUUGGAAAGGAUAAUGAAAAAUGUUGACAGCAGUAUUCAUGGCAAGAUUACACAUGAGAAAGCAAUUUCUAGUUCCAACCACCUCUUUAUAUGCUUUAUCGCUUUAAAUUUCCUUUCGGCUUAUAUCCAAACUAAAACUUGUCUUCAAUAAGACUUCGUCACUACAAAUAACCAACAUGAACCUAAUAGGGAGUGUUGUAAAAUUUAACUUAAAAUAAUAACUAUUAGAGAAGUACAAGAAAAAGUAUUUAGAGAGAGAUAAAGUAUUUAGAAAGAAUAAGAAGACCUUAUUCAAGUGUGUAUUUACAAAUGAAGUUAGAGGCCUAUUUAUAAGCUAAUAACCCCUUAUUUAGAUAGAAUUUACAAGAUAAAAGUAAUACUAAGAGAUUAGAUGGAUGGAUUUAAAUCCUAAUCUUAAUCCAAUCUAAUAUGCUUCAAAAUCUAGAUAUACAUAACAUAAAUAGAUAUUCAUAAGCAUAUUCAUAACACUCCCCAUUGAAUAUCCAUUGUAUUAAGAAUAUACUUUGUUAAAACCUUAUUAGAAAAAAAUCUCAUGGAAAAAAAUCUGAGUGAAGAAAAAAGAGUAUAUAAUUCUUUUCAAAAAUAUAUUUUUGAAAUACUGUCUCAUUAAGAACCUUAUCAAGAAAAACUUAGUGUGAAAAACCUUGAUGAAGAGUAUUGUGCGUAUUUUACUACCUCUAAUGAUUGCAUUGUUUAAGAUCUUUAAAAUGAUUUUCAAUCUUUUAUACCAACUUUUCAAAUAUUGCAGUAAGAAAGGCUUUGGUGAAUAAAUCUACUAAAUCCUCAGUUGAACGAAUUUGUUGAACACUAAUAUCACAUUUUCUUGGAAAUCAUGAGUGAAGAAGAAUUUUGAUGAAAUAUGUUUUGUACUAUUGUUUUCAAUGUAUCCUUCUUUUAAUUGGGGUAUGCAAGCAAUAUUAUCUUCAUUUAAAGUUAUUAAAAUGUCAUUCUUGAUUAACAAACCACAUGUUCCUCAAAUAUGUUAAGUUAUAGAUCUUAACCAAAUACAUUCACGACUUGUCUCAUGAAUUGUUAAAAUUUCUGCAUGGUUAUAAGAAGUAGCAACUAUAGAUUAUUUUACAAAAUACAAUAAAAUAGUCGUACCUCCAUAUUUGAAUAAGUAACUUGUCUAGAAUUAAGCUUUAUUUGAUUGAAUAAAUUUCCAGAGAAUUCAAAUUUAAUGCUUCUGGCAACUUAAAUCCUUCAUGGAUUUUCUUAUAGAUAUCCAUAUUAAGUUAGCCAUAAAAAUAGGUUGUAGCUAUAUUCAUUAAACGCAUUUCAAUCUUCUUAUAUAUUGCUAGACUAAUUAAAUAUAGAAAUAUAAUUGCAUUUACCACAAAAGAAUUUGUCUCUUCAUAAUCAAUAUCAGGUUUUUGGAUAAAAUCUUGUGUGACAAGUUGUGUUUUAUAUCUUAUAAUCUUAUUUUUUUCAUUUUGUUUUCUCACAAAUACCCAUUUAUAUCUCAUUGGUUUUAUACCAUUUAGUGUAUGGACCAUAGGUCCAAAAACUUCAUAUUUUGCAAGUGAAUUCAAUUCCAUCUUGAUUACGUCUUUCUACAUUGGCCAAUUAUUUCUAUUUCUACAUUCUUCAAUAUAUGUAAGUUCAAGAUCCUUAUUUCCUUUUAUAAUAUUAAAUGCUAUAUAAAAAUAUCGUUGAUGUUUAUUUCACUAUAGUUCCAUCUUUUCCCGUCAUGACAUAAUUUAUUGAGAUACUUUUAUUUUCAAUUGUUUCAGGUACUUGAAUUUUUUUUUAAAUUUUAUCAAUUAUGUCAGGUACCUUUUCUGGAGUUUCUACUUCAUCUUUCUGACCAUUUUGUAUAUUUGCUCCUUUAUUUUUUGAAGAUUUUAUCUUUGCAACCCAUUGGUUUCCCACACCUCUAGCAUGCUUUGUCCUACAAGGAUAUUAAUUUUAGUAAGAGCAUUUGCAGCUGUAAUAUGAGAUUUUAUUAUUCUCUUUAGGUCAAUAAAUAUAUUGACAACUAAUUUGCUAUAUUUUAUAAAUUAAUUAUUUUUGAACUUAAAGUUCAUUUUGAUUUGUGCAAGGAUCAAAAUUAGAUAAUGAUAAUACAUUCCAAAAUAUUUCUUUUUCUAGCUACUUAUUUUCUCCCUCUAGUGUUGGAAAAAUUGUUUCAUUAAAAUGACAAUCAACAAACCUUGCCGUGAAUAAAUCUUCUGUUAAUGGUUCUAAAUAUCUAAUUAUGGAUGGAGAUUUGCAUCCAACAUAUAUUUCUAACCUCCUUUGAAGACCCAUAAUAGUGUGUUGUGGUGGAGCAAUUGGGACAUAUAUCGCACACCCAAAAAUUUUUAGAUGAAAAAUAUUUGGUUCCUGACCAUAAACCAAUUGCAUGAGGGAGAAUUUAUGAUAACUUGUUGGCCUGAUGCAUGCAAGUGUUGCUUUAUGCAAAAUGGCAUGCCCCCAAGCAGAAAUAAGGAGUUUAGUUUUCAUAAGCAAUGGCCUUACAAUUAGUUGAAAAUGUUUAAUAAACAAUUUCGCUGGACCAUUUUGUACAUAAACAUGAGUAACAAGCUGUUCAAUAGUUAUUUCGACUAAAAUGCAAUAUUCAUUAAAUACUUGAGAUAUAAAUUCAUCAAUAUUGUCAAGACGAAUAGUCUUGAUUGUAUAAGUAGGAAAAUGUACUCGCAAACGAAUGAUUUAGGCGAGUAAUCUUGGAAAUGCUAAAUUAUAAGUUGAUAAUAAGCACACAUGUGACUGUCUAGUCGAUGCAUCGAUUAAAACUAUAAAAUAUAUAAAUGGUCUAAAUGGUGGAUGUAUGAAUCCACAUAUAUCACCCUAAAUACGUUUCAAAAAUAUAAGAGAUUCAGUCUCAAGUCUACAUGGUGAUAGCUUUAUAAUUAAUUUGCCUUGAAAGCAAGCAACACGUGAGAAUUCAUCAGAUUAAAAAAUCUUUUGAUUUUUCAAUGGAUGACCACAUGAAUUUUCAAUAAUUUUUUGCAUCAUUGUUGAUCUCGGAUGAUCCAACGGGUCAUGCCAAACAUUAAAAUCAUUAGUAAACUUUUGGAUUUAUUAUAGCAUGAAUUUCAAUCAUUCUAAUAUUUGUGUAGUACAAUCUAGAGAACAAAGUGAGUAAUUUUUCCAACACACACUUCUUUCUCGAGAUAAUAGAUGUAAUAUAAAGAUAUUAAGUCUCUAUUUAUUUGUUGUCUUAUAUGAUAUCCAUUUAGCUGAAUAUCUUUAAAAUUUAAUAAAUUUCUAUGAGAUUAAGUAGAAAAUAAUGCACCUUCCUCUAUUAUGAACUUUGUUCCUCUGAGUAGUAAAAUAUUGGCUUUUCUAGAGCCUUCAAUUAAUCUUGCACUACCAAAUAUUAUAUUGACAUUGGUUUUUUCCACUAUCAAGUGGAAAAAAAUUUUUUUGUCUUUAAAUAUAGUGUGCGUUGUACUAGUGUCUACUAGACAUAUAUUUACAUUAUGAAUCUUUGAUCCAAUAAGAUGAAUAUCUAUAUUUUUCUUCAAUAAAAACAAAAUAUAUACAAUAAGAAACUUAUAAGUUCACAUAUAAGAACAUUGAAUAUAGAAUUAAAACACAUAAUAAGAACAUAUCAUUUAAAUAUAACGAAAACAUAUAAAAGCAUCUUUAUAAUAGAGUUAUACUAAAAUAUACCAACAAACUAUUAAGAAAUUUCAUUCUUGAAUAUUUCUCAUUAUCAAUCAAAUUAUAAUUUCUUUCUCAAGGUGGACAAGAAAAUCAACAACAUCUUGAUGUGUUAUAUCAACUUGGCCAUGAUUAAAAUCAUCAUAAUAUGUUGUAGCUUUCAAUCAUGCUUGAUAAAUUUCAAAACAUACAACAAGUAUGUUACCAAUAGUCUUUCAUGCCAUAUCGAUGACAAUAUAUUUUCUAUAUUCUUUUUAUUCUGUCUAUUUUUGUCUUUUCAUAUUAUUCAUCCAUUUUUGGUGGGUUAAAGUAUUCAUCCAUUUUUGGUGGGUUAAAGUUUCAUCCAUUUUUUAUGGGUUAAAGGUAUUCAUCCAGUUUUGGUGGGUUAAACGUAUUCAUCCAGUUUUGGUGGGUUAUCCACUUCAGUGAAUUAAAGGGUUAAGGUAUCUACCCACAUUCUAAUGGGUAAAAUUAUCCAUCCACUUAUAGUAGAUAAAGUUAUCCAUCUACUUCUAGUGGACAAAGUUAUCUUUAGAAUUAGAAUAGUGAUUGGUAUAAAUUAUUAUGGUAACUUCUUCCAUGUACAUGACAAUAUUUAUUAAAUAAUAUUGUGUUCACUUCAAAGAAUAAAGGGAUUCAUAAUUUUCUAUUAGUAUCUCAUUAUUUUAUUGAGUGCCAGAAAGGUCCAAGUAGCCUAGUUGUUUUAAGUUGCCAAUUGAAUCAAGCAACUCCCUGAUAAGCGUCCCCUUGAUGUCAAGAUGCUCUAAUUUGGUAAGAUUCCUCAGUUCUGCUGGCAAGCACUUGAGACGAUGACAACCUGACGACUUCAAGGUCUCCAAGUUAUGCAAAUAGCCUACUCUUUCAGGCAAACAUCCAAUAUCAGCGCCAGAAAGGUCCAAAUAAUGUAGUUUUUUUAAGUUGGCAACUGAAUCAAGGAACUCAAUGAUAUUGUAAGAUGAUAAUGACAACACACGCAAGCAAUUGGGCACUGGAAACAAUUUGUUGAAGACUUGAGAAUUGAAAUGAGUCUUACCAUCAUUUGGUGAUCUGAGUGCAAGGAAGGUCCACAAAAGCUUAUAUUUUUCAUAGAAGGCCACAAAUCUAUUAGGCUUGUCACUUGGCUUCAAUAUGCAUGACAAAUGGAGAACCCUUGGAGGGUUUUAAGGAGGGCUAUCAUGCUCGAACUUGAAGCAAAAUUCUCCUGCUAUAUAUUGAGCUAGAUCGUUGACAAGGUCAUGCAUUACGAAACGUGAUUGAUCAUGACUUUGUUGAAAAUUGACCUUGAUAACAGUUCAUUAAAGUACUGCUCGCCUACUUCCUUCUUUCUUCUUUUACUUUUUGGCUGCUGCAAUAGGCUUUUAGCUAUCCACAUUCGAACCAAAUCCCUUUUCUCAAAUUUGUGGCCCUUAGGAAAUAUGGAACAAUAUGCAAAGCAGCGCUUUAGUUGAGAAGGAAGAUAGUGGUAACUCAAUCUUAAGGCAGGUAGAACGUCACUCUUGUGAUCAGGUAGAUCCCAUAUUCUACUAUUCAGUACAUUGUCCCACUCCUCAGCUUCUAUUUGAGAAUGCAGCAGACUCCCAAGUGUUUGAAUAGCCAAAGGCAAACCUUUGCAUUUUUCCACAAUUUUUCCACCAAUUGCUUUCAGAGUAGAAUCUUCAUUCGGGUCUCUAUUUCCAAAUGCAUGCUUUGAAAAUAAUGGCCAGCAAUCUUCUUUAGAUAACCUCUUCAAAUCGUGAACAAGCGCAGGAAGCAUGGUGGAGGCAACACUAAUUAACACAACUAAUUGUCCUGACCUCACUUGUUUGCCAACAAGCAUGGAAAAUCUUACCAAAUUGAAGCAUCUUGACAUCAAGGGGACGCCUAUCUCGCAAAUGCCUCCAAAUUUCGGUAAUUUGAAACGUCUUCAUCUGUUGACUAAUUUUGUUGUGGGCAACAAUAUUGGGUCAACUAUUAGUGAGGUAAAGGAUCUUUCUCUUCUACAUGGCAACCUUUCCAUCUUGCGACUACAGAAUGUCUCUCAAACAGCAGAUGCAGAAAAGGCCAAUUUAAAGGAUAAGAAAUACCUUCGUGAGUUAAUUUUGGAAUGGGAUGUUGAUCCGCGUGAUGGCAAUGCACAAAUUGCAGCACGUAAUCCUCGUAAUGGAAAUAUAGAGAAUGCAGCGGAUAAUCCUCAUAAUGGCCAUGCAGAGAAUGCAGAAGAUGAACCUCUUAAUGGUCGUGCACAGAAUGCAGUAGGUGAUCCAUCUAAUGGUAAUGUGAGGAAUGCCGCAAAUGAUCCUCAAAACAGUGAUGCAGAGAUUGCAGCAGGCAGUCCUCGUAUUAAUGGUAAUACACAGAAUGCAGUGGAUGAUUCUCAGAAUCGUAGUGCGGAGCAUGCAGUGAAUGUACUUGACAAGCUACAGCCUGCCAAGAAUUUGGAGAGGCUCCAGAUUAAAAACUUCUUCGGUAUGAGUUUACCAAGAUGGCUAGGGAAUGCUUUAUUCUCAAAAAUGAAGAGCAUAACCCUUGAAAAUUGCCAAAAUUGCAACUCACUGCCACCACUUGGGCAACUACCCUCGCUCAAAGAACUCGCCAUAUACGGCAUGGCGGGAGUAAAAAUCGUGGGCCCCGAAUUCUACGGUGGUGGUGUCAUCGCCUUCAAGUCCCUGGAAACGAUAUGGUUCGAAAAUAUGGAAAAUUGGGAGCAAUGGUUACCUUUCUGCAAUGAACCAAGAUUCCCGUCCCUUCACACUCUCAUUUUGUUUAGAUGUAGGAAACUGACUGGGGAUCUUCCCACCCAACAUCUCACUUUGGAAGAACAUAUCCAAGAGUGUGACAAUUUAAAAAGAUGUCAAGGUCCGAUAAACGAAUAACCUCUUCUCUAGCAAUUGCAAUAUGGCAAGCUGCGAAAAUCUUCAACCAGCCAGUUUAACUGAUUUCUUGACCCAACUUGAAGAUGUCGAAGUAAGUCCAGUAUUGUUUGUUUGUUCAUCUCUUCGGUUUUCUAGAAUGACACGCUCAAUACAUAGAAGCAUACCUUGAGGAAGUUGGUUUCCCACCUUUGAAUUACUUUCAAUUAACAAUUUCGCUGGCCUCACCCCGAUCAAGCAACGGUGGAGAUUUGAAGAUUAAGAGACCUGGCUGAGCAAACUUGUUUCCAACUGGUUGAAGGUGAGUGUACAAACUUGAGUUACAGUUUGUUUGCCUUGUGUGUCUUUACGCAUUAACUACGUGAAAAACAAAACACACAAAAUUAACUCCCUAUCAUGUUUACAUUGGUUAUUUGCAGUGGCAAAGUCUCAACGAACACAAAUUUAAUUUGGAGAUAAGCCGAAAUAUGGGUUCUUGAAGAAUCUGAAAGUGGCUGAGUAUUCUAAAAUAAAUUUCGAGCGGUAGAGCAUAUGAAGAGGUGGCUGGAACUGGAACGUGCUAUAUAUACUGCUAUAUGUUCUCUUACAGGUGUAAUCUUGCUAUAUAAACUGCUAUCAACAGUUCUUUACCCCCUCUCCAACCAAUAUCAGAUUCAUGGAGUGAAAUUAUUUGUAUCUUUCCACCAUCUAAUGGUGAGAUUUUUUUUAGCAUCAGAAUUGUCACAGGGACAUUGUCUUAAGUGUUUGUUUAUAUCAUUUUUGUAUAAUUGAAGUUGUAUUCAUGUCAUCCAAAGAAAAAUUGAAUGCUAAUGGUAAAACAUUAUCGGUUAAUUAUUGAAAUCCAUUAAAUACUCAAUUACGUUGAAAUCUACCCAAAUACGUGUUAUACCCUAAUUAAAGAGAUGCAGUGAGGUGCAGGCUUCAUGGAUUGCAGAAUACUGCAGGAGAUAGCAUCAACAAGAGUUUAUGUCCAAGUUGGGGCUUAGAGGAGGACAUGUUUGCAUAUUUUUUGUAUAGUUUAAGACAAUUCUUUCUGCAUUUGAUGCACAGUGUAAUGUUUGUAGCAGGCAUGCCUGCUUUUACUGAAGAGAAACUGAUGGAAGAUCAACAAGGGUGACAUGUAGACAAAAGGUUCUCUUAAGAAAAGAAGCUGCUUGCACAAUAUCAUUACAGCUAAAUCAUUAAUUCCACCAUUUUCAUCAUCAUCAAACCAUUCAAUCAUCACCAAACUAUUUUCAUUCAUAACUUUUACAUAAUCUAAGUAGUCUGAAUCUCUUUUAGGCAUUGGCAACCUUCUCUUCCUUGCUGCUACUCUUCUCAUAUUAAUGGUAAGCUGAUGCACCAGACAGCACCGCCAGGGUUAAGGCUUGUGCAUGCAUCCUAUCAAAAUCAAAAGCAUCUUAUAAGUCAUUUCAAACACAAAAUUGCUGAUGAAAAUAUGCAAUUUGGGCAGGUUAAUUAUGCUUGAAAGAGAGAAGGUACCUGGCAUGAUUAAGCCUCAGACUUGGGUUAAGAGGAGCUCUUGCUCGAGUAUUAUAAGCCAGUGAUGCCCCAAUUGCUGAUGCCCAGAUGGUUCCUGUUACACCCAUUGCACCCUAUCAAUAAUUAAGAAAAAUUUCUAAAUUAUUUAAAAAAUUUUAAAUAAAUUUUUAUUCUUUUAUCGUAUUUAAUCAAAUUUUUAUAUUUUUAUUUUAGAUUAAAUAAACUCUUAUAACUAGUUAUUGAAUAAUUAUUAUUAAUCAAAAUACCACUUGUCAUUUUAUUUAUAUUCAUAUAAUACUAACACGAAAGAUGAAAACAUCAUAUGAUAUGUUAUCAUGUCACCUCAUCAUUUAUUAUGAUAAAUCUAUACACCACAUUAACUGACAUGAUAAAAAAUGAUAAAUCAUCCAUUAAUUACAAAAAUUUAUUUGAUUUAAAUUAAAGUAUAAAAGUUUGAUUAAACAAAUAAAAGAAUAAAAAUUUAUUUAAAUUUUUUAAAAAUAAAUUAGUAACUUUUUUAAGUAUUUUACCUUUUAUUUAGAAAGAUAUUACAUUUCCCUAGACUAGCAAGAAAGCCUGCAAUUAAUUAAAUUGGGGGUUGGAUCGGUGCAUCACUUUCAGUGGGCUUUGCCCCAUAACUAGAAGAGGGGAGAUAGCUUUGUUUCUUUUGUAGCCUAGGCUCAAUUAAAACUGGGCUCAAUUAUAUAUAUAUAUAUAUAGGCAUCAUAUACCAUAGUGAAAUAAUCCUAAUGUAAGAAUUCCAGCAACAAUUACAGAAUCAUAAAAGUUCUAAGCAUACAUAACUGCAUUGAUACAAACAGAUAAUGCAACAGGAAAACAUGGAGUUAGGUUCUAAAAAUGAUUGACUGCAUGAACCAGGCCACCAGAAAAAAGCAAGAGGAGAACAUGAAAGGCAGAGCUUGCCUUACAAUCUGCCAUUUUGUGUAUUGCAUGAACAAACUGCUAAAUUUUUAGCAGAUGAAUGAGCUUAAACAAACAUUUUCAUAGAGUGCUCAAAAUUAACUUAUAAAUAUGUUUUAAGUCUCAAGUUGGAUGAUAUGAUAAAGAAAUUGCCUAUAUAUUGCUUAUAUAUUGCCUAUAUAUAAAAGGAUAAAUUAGCUUAUAUAUUGCCUAUAUAUGAUAAAGAAAUUAACUUCUGUUUUUAUCAGAAAAAAAAAGGGGAAUUUUUUGUUUUCUCCAAUCUGAGGUCCAAUUGUAAGAAAUUGCUCAGCUUGGGUCAUUUGGAGGAUGAUUAUGUGUUUGAUUGCCAUUUUUGUUUCCAAUGGCAGCAAACAAUUUUAAAGCAUACAAAUUUUAAGUGAUAUAAAAGGAUUAGAAACACACCAGAAAUUCAAAAGUAUAUUCUGCAUAUUUAUAUCCAACAAUGUAUCAUUCAAAAGUAACACCAAGAUACAAGAGUCCAUACAUACUUCAUACCAGAAAUAGAACAAUUCAUUCUUGCCUUAAUUUCCUCAACUUUCUGCAGAAACAACAUAUGAAAAAACAGAAAGUAGGAGGAUGAAUAUUGAGAGAGAUGGAGAAUGCUAUUUCUUGUUUUGAACUCAUAUUAAAUAAUUGUGAUAAUGAUGGAAGUUUGUUAAAACCUUAUUCUAUUCAUGAUGAUGGCCUACAUAUUUUAAUUCAAAUGAAAUGACCAAUCGACCCUUCAAAAGAUUGGUCUGCUUACUUAUAUACAAGGAUUGUGAGAGGGGUAGAGGAGACAAUAGAUGAAGGUAUACCAAAAAGGAAGGUAGAAGUAUGUUGUUGUCGGUCAAAGAAAGAUGGGAAGUUGGUUGGACAAUGUGUUUUGAGUGAGUUUCAAAGAAGCCUGGAAGGGCUUAAACAAUGGAGGGAGGGAGGGGGUUUGAUUAGAAAAAGAAAAAUCAGAAAGUUAGGAAGAAGAAAAAAGACUUUCCAACUUCACAACAGCAAGGAUGUGCAAGGCUAGCACAUCCAACCUUUAGCCACUUUCUUAACAUUUCCAAAAUAUUAAUUGGCUUUCCUAGCCAGCCGGCCUGCCCAGCUCCUGUCUCCUCUCCUAGUCCCAUCUUUGCAUGAUUAACGGUAUAUCCAUUCCAUGUCUUUGCAUGAACAAACUGCUGAAAUUUAUAACAGAUGAAUCAUUGACAAAAAUUGCAAGUUCAAGAACAUAUGAUCAGCUAAACAAACACGAAACAGUAAGUGUUGCUUCUAAAUCGAGGUUUAAAAAUCCAGACUUUGGAGGAUUUCCAUCUUGGAAUGCUUUUGGAAGACAAAGUAGUAUGGAAUGGCUCACCGUGUCCAUUUGAAGCAAACAAAUCUCAAGUGAUACAUUAAACUGAUAGAAACACACAUCAGAAGUAUAUAUUCUAUGUAUUUGUACACAAUAAGAGUAAGUAAUUUCAGAAGUCACUCAAAGAUACAGAUGUUCAUACUUGUUACCAGCAACAGCUAGUUACUGUACAAAAGGAACACAGCUGCAAAAGACAAUUACAAAGGAAAAUUUCAUGCCCCUAAAUCCCCAAAAGCAAAAGUAACAUAUGGGUAAGCAGAAAAAGACAGCAUUGAUACUAAGCAAGUCUAGAACCAAACCAUAAACAAUCUGCUUUCCAAUUCAACUCCCAACUCUGAACAUGUUUAUACAUUUUUGUGACAUAUCUUUAAAAGCCUCCAGGCACCUUGAAUUAUAGAAACUAGUGACAGAGAGCACAAGGAGAUGGCACCCUCCAACACCUUGCUAUCCAGCCAUACCAAAUAUUUAGCAGGCACAAGGGCAAUUCAACUUGCAACCAGAGGCCAGCAAACACAAAGUGCAGCAGAGUAUGAGACAGAGUUCUUACCCCCAGAAAACUCUUUUCACGGACCACAUGCACCAGGUAGACAUUAUGGUAAAACCAACAGCAGGUCAUUAGCUCUCUCCACCCUAAACUUCACCAACCCAUCCGCAACUUCAUUGCCCGAUCUUGGGAAGUAUAAGAUUUGCCAUCUAAGAACCUUCAGCUUGAGUCCAAUGAACAGAACUUUUAGGAUCACUCUCCAUAAACCUGUGUCAACUGCGAAAUAUUAAAAAUGAGAAUGCUGAUAGAUCAACCAUCAAAAAUUGAAAUGAAUGAAAAAUAUUUUGUGCAUAACCAAAUUUUUAAUAUUAAAUGAUCUGUAUUAAUUCAUCUUUUUCAUUGCAUAUUUAUAACUAACAAGACAUGAUAAGCCUGUAGAAGGUGGAAAAUUUUAAGCAGAAUCUAGUAAAUGUUAGAUGAAAGAAGUGUAUUAAUCACAGAUAGAUGAAAGAAACUAAAGCUGACUAAGAAUCUAAGACUACAAACCUGUAGAAUUGUGCCUGGUUUGAAAUCGACAAGCAAUUGUAUUAAUCACUGACCUGAAAAAUGAAAACAAGAUUAGGCUUUAAGAAAAACAUUGACAAAGUAUUGUUCACUGUGUUUCACAUACAAACUCUUCUAGAGUUGUUUGUGAGAUUUUACCUCAUCAAGCUGGAUGGAAGGAAUACGAGCUAUCUUGAACCACUCCCUCCCCUUCCUAUUUUGAAGCUUCGGAUUCAGCAGAGAACAGUCUGUGAUACUUAGAGAAUACAAGGCGGAAGGCAGCCCAUGUUCCGGUAAGCAAUUAAGCUUGUUACAGCAAUUUAUUUCAAGUGUUUGAAGAGAGGUGAUGUUUUGAAGCCCCUCACCAUUUAGAAACUUAAGAUUUGAAAGCCUGCUGAUGCGUAGAGAGUUAAGAUUUGUUGGCAGCAAUCCCUCUUCUGGAAAUGACUCCAAUUCUUGGCAUCCACCUUCAAUCUCAAAAUGACUUAGAGAAUGAAGAUUAUCUAACUCCCACCCUUUUUGGGGAGUGAUUUUGUCACAAAAAGAAAUGCAAAGUAUGAUUAGGCUGGAUGGCAAGCCCUCUGUGGGAAGUGACUCCAGUGCUGGACAUUUGUUUAUAUACAGUGACUGAAGAGAUUUGAGGCUUUGCAUCCCUGGCAGUGACUUGAGACUCCCGCAAUUGAAGAAAACCAGUGAUGUCAGGUUUGGAGCUUGAAAUUCCUCUUCAACAAAGGACCUCAAAUUAGGACAACCUUUGAUUUCCAAGGAAUCAAGUGAAGUAAGUUCAUUCUGCAAUCCCUUCUCAAUUGAGAGAUGCUCAAGAUUUCUGCAGUCCCACAGACUAAGAGAUUUAAGUUUUGGGAAGUAAUUCAAUGGAAAAUUUUGGAGAGAAUCACAGCUGCUCCCUAAACAUAAAUCUUCAAGCCCUGAGUCUUGUUUCAUCACUUUGCUAGGUUGGGGAAAUUUUAACUUUUUGCAGUUAUGGAUAUAGAGUGUUUUCAAUGAAGGGGACUGAGGAAAGAUCUUGAGGGAAAUUGAAUCAAUGAUAUAUAAAUGUUGAAGUGAAGAUCUCUUCAAUAUUUCUUCAGGUAGCAUAUGCAAAGCAUAUCUCUCAAUUCUGAGGCUGUGCGAGUCAGUUGACAGUUCCAUUAACUGUGUCAUGCCCAUGCUUGACACAUUUAUGCUCAAGGAGGAAGAAAGCUGCUGGUUUUGAUCGUCACUUGAUGAAGGUGUUGGCUGAUUAUUAUCUUGCUCUUGAUGAAUCAUUCUUGGAGAGAACUGUGGUUCAACUGUCUGGUUAUCAUCAUUUCUCUUCUGCACCUUGUCACAGUUGUCUAACUUCAGUAAGCACCGUUCGGAAGUCCAUGGAAGUGAAGCUGCAAGCUGUUGACAUUUAGAAAUCUCCAGUUUUAUCAAAAAGGGAAGGCACUUCGGUAAAUCCCCUUCCAAUUUGGGACAGUUUAUUAUGUAAAACUCUUGCAGGCAGGGAAAUUCUUCACCUUCCACUUCAAGUGGUGUCCACCUUUCCCAUUGUAACAUUGCCUCAAAUUUCAAAGUCUUGAGAGACUGAAAUGGUUUCUGAAAAGUUAAAUCCAUCCUAUAAAAUUCUGGGCCAAUGCUUCUUACUCCCCCAAUCCUUUGAAUUAUGAGAUUUUCAAGAAAUGGCAGCUGCCCAAAUGGUGGCAAUGACGAGCAAUUAUUGUAGUCACUGAUACAUAGAAAUCUUAUUGUGGAAAGUGCAGAACCUUCCGACCACCGCACUGCUCUCUCCUUUGCUGGACUUUCAUUAAUUCUACUCCAUUCCAACGGUAGUUCAGUGCCUGGAAUCUCAGUCAUCAUCGAAGAGGAUUCUGAUCAAAUUUCACCAUCAAUUUUUGGCAGUGUCUUAUCUUGAGGAGUCUUCUCCAACUCUAGUUCGUCAAGAUAUUGCAUAGCUUCCAAAUUGGCUUCUGAUGCAUGAGAAGCAGAAGAUACAUCCUGCAACUCUGAAAUAGACAACGAUUCAUGAAGAUCUUUAAUGCUACCCAUGGAGGUAGAAAACUGCUGAUUUCCAUCUUCCCUUGAUGAAGGUGCUGUCUGAUUAUCAUUACUUCUCUUCUCCACCUCGUCACAGUUGUCUAACUUCGGUACACAACAUUCUGAAGUCUGUGGAAGUGAAGCCUCUAGCUGUUCACAAUUACAGAUCUCCAGUUUUACCAAAGCUGGAAGGCUCUUUGGUAAAUCCCCUUUCAAUAGUGGACAGUUUAUAACAUAAAACUCUUCCAGGCAGGGAAAUUCUUGGCCAUCCACUUCAAGUAGUAUCCAUUCUUCCCAUUGUGACAUUUCCACAAAUUUUA
rnacentral:lncRNA from 1 species